rnacentral:lncRNA from 1 species
GACUUUCCAUUAACCUAUGACUCAACUAAAAACAAAAAACUACAUGAAAUAAAAAAACUAAAAACUGAAAAUAAAACAUACCUUAGCUUGGGUUGCCUCCUAAGAAGCACCUAAUUUAGUGUCGUGGCUCGACCCAAAUCAACUUUUUCCUCCACCGUGAACAUAUAAAUUUCACCCCCAACUUAGCAUCCAUCUUCUUGCCUCACUCAUAAGGAGGUGGUACAAAGAUUAAGAAGCCGAGUAAUGGAUUGAUCAUUGUAAACCACUCAGAUUUAAAGUGAGGUGUGUUUUUAUGUUGUUUGUCUAGUAUAAAAUCAAGAAUAUAGGACUAUGUUCCUCACCUUCACACUCAUCUACAAUUUUAAAUGAUUUCACAUACAAGAUAUCAUCUAAACAUAACGUAGAAAAAUUCUUUGAAUGAGGCCCAACCAAUCCUACUUCAAAAUUUACACUAUUUACUACACACUCACUUUUAUUCAUCUUCUCAAUGUCAGUCUUUAGAUAAAGAUGACAAUCGAGUGACUGCGGUUCUUGUGUUUUCUCCACAAAUUAGCUAAUGUUCUUCUCAUAUUUUUCUUUGCUUAGCCACUGUAGACAUGGUGGUAGUGAAAAUUCCUCAGCCUGUUCAAUAAUUUUAGUUUUUGAGUACUCGAACUUCCUCGAAUUAUCUGCAACUUCAUCUACAAUAGGUUGGGACAUAACUUGAGGUCUUAUGUUUUGUGUUCCUGCAAUAUGGCCAAGCUACAACUCCAAAUUUAUUUGCACCAUCUGUUGAUUAUUUAAUUAUUCUUGAAAUUUCAUAUGAUUUGCCAGUAUCUGCUUUAUCAUCUCCUCUAUGCUACUGAUCGAUAUGGUAGCUUGAUUACUUUGGACUUGCUGCUGGUUGGUCUAUGAAUGAAUUUGUGACUGAGUCAACCCCGUUUGAUUGUAGUAGUUUAUAUAAUUUUGCAAUUGAUCAUAUCCUACAAACAUUAUUGAAUCAGGAUUUCUAGCACACAUAUCUUCAGAAUGAUUUUUUUUUGCCAAGAAAGUAUUUUAUUUAUUAAUAAUUGAAUAAAAAGAUCAAAUUGGAUCUAGAGAUCCUGAAAAUGAAAAAGAAGUAAUGUAGAAAUAUCUUUAGAAUGAUCACUUUUACCACAAGACAAACACCAAAUUGCAUUCUGUUCCUCAGAUAGAACAGUAUCCACAUCAUAUUGUGAAGGUCCCGUCCAUGCUCUUCCAUCAAAAUCUGGACAAUAAGCCUCACGAUGUGGUCCCCCACAAAAAUAGCAAGAAUCGUCAUCACUCGAAAACCAUCUAUCCCAGGCUGACAUCUCAAGAGAAGUAUGAAAAAAGAAAAAUAAAGAAGAUAAAAAUAAACUACACAAAAACUAUUUACAACUCAAUAUAAAGAAACUAAAAUUAAGGUAGUUGCCUAAUAACAAGUCCCCGGCAACGGUGCCAAAAAGUUGACAGGGCCCAAGUACACAUGCAAGUUUAUGUGGUCUUAUCAAGUAAUAGAGUGGCUUCAAGAAAGCCCAAGUAUCGAUCUCUCAGGGACUUGCGUUCGCCGCCUAUCUUAUUCUAGUUUAACUAAUUUAAGAGUGUAGCAAAUAGAGCUGUAAUUUUGUAAAUUAAAACAAAACUAAUCCAAUGCAUAAAAUAAAAUACUUGAAACAAUAAAUGAGUAAAGCCUGGGGUUAAGGCAUUUUGAACAAUCAUCCAAAUCUCUAUUCCUAUCGCAGUUUAAUUGGUUAUUGGAUUGUUGAUUCUCAAGGUUUAUGCAAUAAUUUUAGUCUCCCGACCUCAAAUCUUUUAUUUAUUGAACAUUGCAUCUACAAUUCCCACAGAGAUACAACUAUUCUUCUAAAUCUAUGAAGUUAUCUUCUUGCAAUCGAGUCAAACAAGGCUUCUAGGUAUAUCCCUAUCCUAGAUGCUAAUUCAAACUCCUUAUUUCAUAAAAGAGUAAGAACCUUGUUCCCUAAUUUAUUCAUUCUAAUCUAUGAUUCUCCUCCCGGAUUGACAUAUAAAUAUAGAUUUAUUCUAAUGGUAGCUAAUCAUCAAAAUAGUAGGCUCAAGAAAUCAAGAACAAUCCAAAUGAUAUUCCAAAAUUAAACUACAAUAAACAAUAUCAAAGAGUAUUCAUGUUUUUUGCCUCAACCCCAGAACAAGGGUAUUUAAAUUGAAUUCAAUAUAAAAAACAAGUAAUAAAUCAUACCUAAAAUGAAUCUUCAAGUGAAGAAGUUGAAAAAAUAAUCUAUGAACCCUAAAAUGGAGGUUUUUGAGCUUCUCCGCCGCUUCUGCAGAUCGUCCAAGCCUCUCCUAAAUAUUCUUCACGUUUUUCCUUUUAUACUGGACCAAAAUUAACCUAGGGGAAUAAGCAAGGAGUUUCCCUGGUAAAUCCACCGCUCUAACCAAGGUGUGGCCCUGGAAAUCGCCCAGGCUCACUGGAAGUUGCAGCUGAAAUUUUGGCUAAGUGUUGGAAGCCCCGCGAUAAGCGAGGCGCCACACUGUGGAUCGCCUAAGGAGCACCACGCGCCUAUUCUUCAUAAAAUUGAGUCUAUUAUGAAUCCAUUAGUGUUUUUAAGAAGUAUAUAUAAUUUUUCACGCUCCCAAAAUGGAUAAAUAUAUUUCAGGACUCCAAAAGGAGUUAAUUUUUGCAUUGUGGUUUCGUUGAGCCAUUCCGAGCCUUCUUGAGUUAUUUCCACUUGAUUUGAAGCUUUUAUAUCCUUAAUAUAUCAUCAUUAUCCAUUCAUAAAGCAUCCUAAAGAAUUAAAAAAACACAAUAUAGAGCUCAAAACCACACAACAUCCAAGAUGGUGAACUAGAAACAUGAGCUAAGCAUAGGCUAAAUGGACUUUGAUCUUUAGCUUAUUGUUUUGACACUUGUUUUGAUCCAGUUGACCCUUGAAGAUUAUAAAUAAGUUGUUUAAUAUAUAAAUACGUAAUAACAACCUUAGUAACUCAUUAAAACACAUUUGAACCCAACACAAUAGACUAGACAAACACCUAGCUCAAGCUAGUCACACUAGUUUUCUCGGUUGAACUCUUAAUGCUCAAUUUGAAUCAAAACUCAUGUGAAAACGCUAUUAAACAUUGUAAGCAUGCACUUUGACUCUUAGAUUUGGAUUUAUAUCAUUAGUAUCACUUUAUUCACAUGAAUCAUACUUAAAACAAGGCUAAAAUGCCUAAAAUAGCAAGGCUAGAAUGCAAAAAUUCAUCCAACAUCAUUUGUCCACCCAAAAAGCCACAGAAAUUUAAACGGACUACAUUGGGACUAUCCCCAACUUCCAUAGCAUACCUCUCUCAAUUUUAGUCCAAUAUCAUGCCCGUACCCCGAGCCCACCCCCAAAACCGUGGGCAAUAGCACACCGAUUUGGUCUGAAAAUGCCCCAUUCACGCUGUUUUAUCCGUUUGUCCACCCAAAUGGCCACAAAAAUUUAAACGGACCACUAUGGGAAAAUACCCAACCUCCUUCACACACCCAGGUCGAUUUUUGGCCAUAUUACGCAUGGAUCCCAAGCCACUCCCAAAAUCGCAGGCUAUAGCACAUUAAUUUGGCCUGAAAAUGCCCCGUUCGUGCCGUUUUGCCUGUUUGUCCAACCAAUUGGCCACGAAAAUUUAAACGAACCACUUGGGGUGAUUCCCAACCUCUAUGGAAUGCCUCGGUCGACUUUUCGCCCACAGUGUGCUCAGACCCUGGGCCCACCCCCAAAAUCAUGGGCUAUAGCACACUGAUUUGUCCAAAAAAUGCCCCGUUCGCGCUGUUUCUCUUGUUUAUCCACCGAAAUGGUCCAAAAAUUUUAAACUGACCACACUGGGAUGAUCCCCAACCUCCCUUACAUACCCCGAUUAAUUUUUGACCCACAACAUUCCCGAACCCCGAGACCAUCCCCAAAAUGGUGGGCUAUAGCAUACCGAUUUCGCCUGAAAAUGCCUCGUUCGCACCGUUUCAGCCAUUUGCCGACCCAAAUAGCCAUGAAAAUUUAAGCGGAUCACACUGGGAUUAUACCCAACCUCCCUGGUAUGCCCUAGUAGAUUUUCAUACACAGCAUGCCCGGACCCUAGGCCCACCCCCGAAAUCGUGGGCUAUAACUCACCGAUUUAGCCUGAAAAUGCCCCAUUCGCGCUGUUUCACCCGUUUGUCCACCCAAAUGGCCACAAAAAUAUAAAUGGACCAUAUUGGGAAGAUCCCUAACCUCUAAGGCAUGCCUCUAUUGAUUUUCAUCUUACAGCACGCACGGACCUCGGGCCCACCCCCAAAACCGUGGGCUAUAGCACACCGAUUUGAUCAGAAAAAGCCCUGUUCGCGCUGUUUUGCCCGUUUGUUCACACAAAUGGCUGAACAAUACUAGAAUGAUAUCAAACCUCCCUGGCAUACCCUAGUCGAUUUUUGGCCAACAACACGUCUGGACCCUGGGUCCACCACCAAAAUCAUAGGCGAUAGCACACCGAUUUGGCCCGAAAAUGCCACGUUCAUGCCAUUUUAUCCAUUUGUCCACCCAAAUGGCCACAAAAAUUUAAACGGACCACACUGGGAUGAUUCCCAAUCUCUCUGGCAUGCCCCUGUCGAUUUUUAGCCCACAGCAUGCCCGAACCGCGGGCCCACCCCUAAAACCAUGGGCUAUUACACAAUUUUUUGUCUGAAAAAUGCCCCAUUCCCAUCGUUGUGCCCGUUUGUCCACCCAUAUGGACACAAAAAUUUAAAUAGACCAUACUAGGAUGAUCCCCAACCUCCCUGGCACGCUUCGAUCAAUUUUUGGCCCACAGCACUCUCGAACCUCAGGCCCACCCCCGAAAUCGUAGGCUAUAGCACAAUGAUUUGGCCUGAAAACACCCUGUUUGCGCCGUUCUGCCCAUUUGUCCACCCAAAUGUCCAUAAAAAUUUAAACCGACCACACUGGGAAAAUCCCCAACAUCUCUAACAAGACCUGGUCGAUUUUCAGCCCACAGCACGCCCGAACCCUGGGGCUACCCCAAAAACCAUGGGCUGUAGCAAAUCGAUUUAGAUAAAAAAUGUCCUAGUCGAGCCGUUUCGUUCAUUUUUAAACCCAAAUGGCUGCAAAAAUUUAAACAGGUCACAUUGAGAUGAUCCUCAACCUCCCUGGCACGCCUCGAUUGAUUUUUGGCAAACAACAUGCCUGGACCUCGGGCCCACCCCCGAAAUCGUGGGCUAUAGCAUAUUGAUUUUGCUCGAAAAUGUCCUAUUCACACUGUUUUUUUCGUUUGUCCACCCAAAUGGACAUGAUAAUUUAAACGAACCAAAUUGGGAUGAUCCCCUACCUCCCUGGCAUGCCUCGAUCAAUUUUUGGCCCACAGCACACCCAAACCUCGAGCUCACCCCCAAAACCAUGGGCGAUAGCACACCGAUUUGGCUCGAAAAUGCCUUGUUCGGGCUGUUUCACCCAUUUGCCACAAAAAUUUAAACCGACCACACUGGGAUGAUACCCAACCUCCUGACAUGCCUUAGUUAAUUUUCGGCCCCCAACACGCCCAAACCCCAGGGCCACCCCCAAAACCAUGGGCUGCAGCACACCGAUUUAGCCCGAAAAUGUCCAUGUCAUGCCGUUUUGCUCUUUUAUCCACAUAAAUGGCCGCAGAAAUUUAAAUAGACUACAUAGGACUAUCCCCAACCACCAUGGCAUACCCCGAUCGAUUUUCGAUCCACAGCAUGCCCGAACCCCGAUCCCACCCCCGAAAUCGUGGCUAUAGCACACCGAUUUGGCCAGAAAAUGCCAUGUUCGCACCCUUUUGCCCGUUUGUCCACCCAAAAGCCACAAAAAUUUAAAUGAGCCAUACUGGGAUGAUCCUCAACCUCCCUGGCAUGCCUCGAUAGAUUUUCGACACACAAUAUGCUCGAACCCCGGGCCCACUCCCAAAAUCGUGGACUAUAGUAUAAUGAUUUGGCCCGAAAAUGCCCCAUUUGCCCCAUUUCGCUCGUUUGUCCACCCAAAUGGCCACAAAAAUUUAAACGGACCAUACUGGGCCCACCACCUUAAUCGGUGAUACUGAAUUUGUAAUCUGCUAUUUUAUGAGAGAAUAACCUAUUCCCCAAACUGAUGUUCGUUUAUAUUAUUUUUUUGAUUUCGAGAACAAAUUGGGUUCUUUUUUCUGGGCACUCAAACUUCACACGCCUUUCGUUAAGAAAGUCGCAUACACCUUGCUUAUUUUUUCAAACAUAGCCUUGAUGGGAAAUUCUUUUUCAUUGCCAAACAUUGAAUUCACCGAUUCAGUUAUGUUUGAUGUCAUAAUAUUGUACCUAUACAAAAGAAUCCCUUAGUACGACAUCAUACUAAACUUGUAAAUCCAACAAGACAUUAAAUUCAUAAAAAUGUACCUAUCUGCUGGAUAGAAUGCCCGGCUCCAUAUCUCAAAACCGUCAUGCGUGAGAAAUUCUUCUACCUUGGGAUUCACAUCUGCUAUUUGAUUGAAAUGGUCUAAAAACUCCUCUCUACUAUAUGAUUUAGCUGCUCUGUAAAAAAGAGUGAUGACCCUUUCGUUGUGAUAGUUGUUUCGAAUGUUCUCUCCAAGAUGCCUGAUGCAACAACCAAAGUAAGCUGAAGUAAAGAAAAGUCAACCCAUCUUUGGAAUACUUGGAUGACUAUCCGAUACAAAACAUAACUUUUUGGUAUCUUCAACGUAGCUUUGCAAUUGUUCGAAUAAAAAUCCAUAAGAGGCAUCACAUUCCUUGUCCGCUACACAAAAAGUGAUAGAAAAGAUGUGAUUCUAUGCAUCCUGCACCACCAUCGCUAGCAGAACUCCAUUAUACCUGCUCCUCAAGAAGGUACCGUCGAGGCUAUGCCUUUCCUCAAAUGCGAAAAACCUUGAAUACAAGCACCAUAGGAUUAAAAAUUUAGUAUCAAUGGACUACACUGCAACGAUCCCCAACCUCCAUGGCUCACCCCAAUUGAUUUUCGGCCCACAGUACACCCAGAACCUUGGCCCACCCCCGAAACCACGAGCUAUAGCACACCGAUUUGACCCAAAAAUGCCCCAUUCGUGUCAUUUUGCCUGUUUGUCAACCCAGAUGGCUACAAAAAUUUAAACGAACCACACUGGGACAAUCCCUAACAUUCCUAGCAUGCCCCGAUCAAUUUUUCUCCCAUAGAACACCCGGACCCUAGGCUCACCACUGAAAUCGUGGGCUAUAGCACAUCAAUUUGGCCCGAAAACUCCCUAUUCAUGCUAUUUUGCUUGUUUGUCCAUCCAAAUUGCCACGAGAAUUUAAACGGACCACACUGGCAAGAGUCCCAACCUCACUGGCAUGCCUCGGUCAAUUUUUGGCCUACAAAAUUCCCGAACCCCUCGUCCACCCCCAAAAUCAUAGCCUAUAGCACACCACUUUAGCCUAAAAAUGCCCCUUUCACGCCGUUUCGUAUGUUUGUCCACCCAAAUAGCCACAAAAAUUUAAAUGAACUAUAUUAGGAUGAUCCUUAAUGUCCCUGGCAUGCCCCAAUCAAUUUUUGGCUACCAGAACGACCGAACCACGGGACCACUCCCAAAACUGUGGGCUAUAGCAUACUGAUUUGGCCCAAAAACUCCCCGUUCGAGCUGUUUUGCCCGUUGGUCCACCCAAAUGGCCACUAAAAUAUAAAUAGACCACACUGGGAUGAUUCUCACCCUCCCUGGCAUGUCCCAGUCGAUUAUUAGCACACAGUAUGUUCGAAUCCCGAGCCCACCCCUAAAAGUGUGGGUUAUAAAACACCGAUUUGGCCGAAAAACACACCAUUCGCGCCGUUUUACCCAUUUGUCCAACCAAUUGGCCAGGAAAAUUUAAAUGGACCAUACUGGGAUGAUCCCCAACCUCCCUGGAAUACACCGACCGAUUUUUGACCUACAGCAUGCUUGGAUCAAGCACCCAACCCCAAAACUGUGGGCUAUAUCAUACGUUUUGGCUCGAAAACAUCUCAUUCCCGUUGUUUCACCCAUUUAUCCACCCAAAUGGCCACAAAAAUUUAAACGAACCAUACUAGGAUGAUCUCUAACCUCCCUGGCAUGCCCCAGUCAAUUUUUUUCCGACAGCACGCUUGGACCCCAGGCUCACCCCUAAAACUGUGGGCUAUAGCACACCGAUUUUGCCAAAAAAUGCCCCGUCCGUGCUGUUUUGCCCGUUUGUCCACCCAAAUGACCACAAAAAUUUAAAAACACCAUACUGGGAUGAUCCCUUAACUCCCUAGCAUGCCUCAAUCGAUUUUUGGCUCAUAUCAUGCCAGAAUUCUGGGCCCACCCUCGAAACCAUAGGCUAUAGCACACCAAUUUGGCCUAAAAAUACUUCGUUCGUGCCGUUUCUCCCGUUUAUCCACCCAAAUGGAAACCAAAAGUUAAAAGGACCAUACUGGGAUAAUACCCAACCUUUUUGGCAUACCUCGAUUGAAUUUUGACCCACAACACGCUUGAACCCCGGGCCAACCCCUAAAAUCGUGGGCUAUAAUGCUCUGGAUUUGCCAAAAAUAUGCCAAAAAGUUAAACGGACUAUGCUCGGAUGAUACCCAACCUCCCUUGUAUGCCUCAAUUGAUUUUUGACCCCCAGCAUGCCGUACCCGAGCCCACCCUUAAACUGUGGGCUACAACACACCAAUUUGGCCCAAAAAUGCUGCGUAUGCGCCAUUUCGCCCAUUUGUCCACCCAAAUAUCCACAAAAAUUUAAACGGACCACAAUGGAUUUAUUCCCAACCUCCCCAAAAACCCCCGAUCAAUUUUCAACCUACAACAAGCCCGAACCCAGGCCCACCCCCAAAAUCGUGGGCAAUAGCACACCAAUUUGGCCCUAAAAUACCCCGUUCAUGCUGUUUUGCCCGUCUAUGAUCCCAAAUGAUCAUAAAAAUUUAAACGAACUACACUGGGAUAAUCCACAACCGCCCUGGCAUACCUUGAUCAAUUUUUUACCCACAUCACGUAUGGACCCCGGGCCACCUUUGAAACCGUGGUCUAUAGCUUACCCAUUUGGCCCAAAAAUGCCACAUUCAUGCUUUUUCGUCCGUUUAUCCACCCAAAUGGCCAUACAAAUUUAAAUGGACCACAAUGGGAUGAUCCCCAACCUUACUAGCAUACCUCAAUCAAUUUUUGGCCAUAACACGCUCGGACACCGGCUCACUCCCAAAACCGCGGGCUAUAGCACAUUAAUUUGGCCCAAAAAUUCCCCGUUCACGCUGUUUUGCUUGUUUGUCCACCUAAAUGGCCACAAAAAGUUAAUCUGACCAUACUGGGAUGAUCUCCAACCUUCCUAAAAUGCCUCGUUCGAUUUUCGGCCCACAGUACGCUCAGACCUUAGGCCAACCCUCAAAAUCGUGGGCUAUAGCACACCGAUUUAGUUUAAAAAUGCCCCAUUCACGCUGUUUUGCCCUUUUAUCUAUUUAAAUGACCACAACAAUUUAAACCGACCACACUGGGAUGAUCUCCAACCUUCCUGACAUGCUUCGAUCGAUUUUCAGCCUGCAGCAUGCUCGACCCCCGGGCCCAUCCCCAAAACUGUGGGCUAUAGCACAUCGAUUUAUCUUGAAAAUGCCCCGUUCGCAUUGUUUUGCCCAUUUGUCCAUCCAAAUAGCCACAGAAGUUUAAACGGCCCAUACUGGGAUUAUCCUCAACCUCCAUGGCAUGCCUAGGUUAAUUUUUAGCCCACAUCAUGCUCGAAACCCGGGCUUACCCCUAAAAUCGUAGGCUAUAGCACAAUGAUUUGGCCCAAAAAUGCCUCGUUCGCGCCAUUUUACCUAUUUGUCCACCCAAAUGGUCUCAAAAAUUUAAACAGACCACAUAGGGACAAUCCCAACCUCCCUGCCAAGCCCCAGUUGAUUUUUGGCAUACAGCACGCCUUGACCUCGGGCCCACCCCCAAAAUCGUGGGCAAUAGUACACUGAUUUGGCUCAAAAAUACCCCGUUCGUUCUGUUUUGCCCAUUUGUCCACCCAGAUGGCUACAAAAUUUAAACGACCUAUACUGGGACGAUCCCACACCUCCCUGGCACUCCUCGAUCAAAUUUUGGCCAACAACCCGCCUGAACCUCGGGCCCACCCAUAAAACCGUAGGCUAUAGCACUCAUAUUUGGCCCAAAAAUGCCCUAUUUGUAUCGUUUUGCCUGUUUAUCCACCCAAAUAGCCAUAAAAAUUGAAACGGACCACAUUGAGAUGAUCCCCAACCUCCCUGGCAUGCCCCGGUCAAUUUUUGUUCCACAGCAUGCCCAGACCCCGAGGCCACUACCAAAACCAUGGGCAAUAGCAUACUGUUUUUCCUAAAAAUGCCACGUUUGCGCCGGUGUGCCCGUUUGUACACCAAAUGGCCAUGGAAAUUUAAGCGAACCACACUGGGAUGAUUAAAACCUCCCUGGUAUACCUCAAAUGAUUUUUGACCCACAGGAAGCCUGAACCCCGGGCCCUCCCAUAAAACCGUGGGCUAUAGCAAAUCGAUUUGGCCAGAAAAUGCCCCUUUAGUGCUGUUUCGCCCCUUUGUCCACCCAAAUGGCCAUAAAAAUUUAAACGGACAACACACUGGAAUGAUCCUCAACCUUCCUGCCACACCCCGAAUAAUUGUUUAGCCCACAUCACGCCCGGACCUCAGACCCACCCCCAAACCCGUAGGCUAUAGCACAACUAUUUGGCCUGAAAACGUCCCGAUUGCGUUGUUUCGCUCGUUUGUCCACCCAAAUGGCCACAAAAAUUUAAACUGAACACAAUGGAAUGAUACCCAACCUCCCUGACAUGUGUUGAUCAAUUUUUUGAACCACAGCAUGCCCAAACCCCGAGCCUUUUCCCAAAAUCAUGGGAUGUACACUGAUUUUGCCCGAAAAUACCCCGGUCGUGCCUUUUUGCCCGUUUGUAGUCCCAAAUGGCCAUAAAAAUUAAAAAAGACCAUACUGAGAUGAUCCCUAACCUCCCUGGUAUGCCUCAAUCAAUUUUUGGUACACAACACGCUCGGACCCUGGGCCUACCCUCGAAACCGUGGGCUAGCUCACCAAUUUGGCCCAAAAAUGCCCCGUUUGUGCCAUUUCGCCUGUUUGUCGACCCAAAUGGCUACAAAUAUUUUAACAGACCAUACUGAGAUGAUUUCAAAUCUCCCUAGCAUGUCAUGGUCAAUUUUUGGCCUAUAGAACGCCUGGAUACCGAGCCCACCCCAAAACAGUGGGUUAUAGCACAACGAUUUUGCCCGAAAAUGCCCCGUUCACGCCGUUUCACCACUUUGUCCACCCAAAUAGCCACGAAAAUUUAAACAGACCACACUGGAUUAUACCCAACAACCCUGGCAUGCCCCAGUCAAUUUUAGGUCCAAAGCACGCUCGGACCCUGGGUCCACCCCCAAAAUCAUGUGCUGUAGCACACCGAUUUGGCACGAAAAUACUCCAUUCGCGCCGUUUCGCCCUUUUGGCCACAUAAAUGGCCACAAAAAUUUAAACGGACCACACUAGGAUGAUCCCCAACCUCCCUGGCAUGCCCCAGUCAAUUUUUGGCUCACAGCACGCCCGGAACCCAGGCGCACCCCCAGAACUGUGGGCUGUAGCACCCAAAUGGCCUGUUUGUCCAUUUCGCCUGUUUGUCCACCCAAAUGGCCACAAAGAUUUUAACGGACAACACUGGGAUGAUCCCCAACCUUCCUGGCACACCGUGGUCAAUUUUGGCUGACAGAACUCCUGAACCCCUGCCCCACCCCAAAACCGUGGGCUAUAUAGCACUCCAAUUUUGCCCGAAAAUGCCCCGUUCACGCCGUUUCGCCGGUUUGUCCACCCAAAUCGCCACAAAAAUUUAAACAGACUACACUGGGAUGAUACCCAACAACUCUGGCAUACCCCAAUCGAUUUUAGGCCCAAAGCACACCAGGACCCUGGGUCCACCCCCAAAACCGUAGGCUGUAGCACAUCGAUUUGGCUCGAAAAUACCCCAUUCGCCACGUUUUGUUCUUUUUCCCACUUAAAUGGCUACAAAAAUUUAAACGGACCACACUAGGAUGAUCCCCAACCUCCCUGACAUGCAUUGAUCAAUUUUUGGCCCACAGCAUGCCUGGACACCAGGCCCACCCCCAGAACCGUGGGCUGUAGCAUACCAAUUUUGUUUGAAAAUACCCUGUUCACGCUGUUUUGUCCUCUUUUCCAUGCAAAUGACCACAAAAAUUUAAACAAACCACGCUAGGGCGAUCCACAACCUCCCUGGCAUGCCCUAAUCGAUUUUCAUCCCACAGCACGCCUGGACCCCGGGCCCUCUCCCGCAAGAGGGUGCUAUAGCACACAAAAAAAGAGUGUGCUAUAGCACAAUAAUUUGCCCCUAAAAUGCCCCAUUCACGCUGUUUUGCCCGUUUGUCCUACCAAAUGGCUAAGAAAAUUUAAACAAACCAUACUGGGACAAUCCCCAACUUCCCUAGCAUGCCCAGGUCAAUUUUUGCCCCAUAGCACGCCUGGACCUCGGGUCCACCCCGGAAAUCGUGGGCUAUAACAUACAGAUUUUGCUCGAAAAUGCCUUGUUCGUGCCAUUUUGCCUGUUCAUCCACUUAAAUAGCCAAAAAAAUUUAAACGGACCACACAGGGAUAAUCCCAAACCUCCUUGGCACGCCCCAAUUGAUAUUUGGACCAUAGCACGACCGGACCCAGGGCCUAACCCAAAACCGUGGGCUAUAGCACACAUAUUUGGCCUGAAAAUGCCCCGUUUGCACCGUUUCACCCAUUUUUACACCCAAAUGGCCAUAGAAAUUUAAACGGACCACACUGGGAUGAUCCCCGACUUCCUAGGCAUAUCCCAAUUGAUUUUUGACCCACCGCACGCCUGGACCCCAGGCCCACCACCAAAACCAUGGGCUAUAGCACAUCGAUUUCGCUCGAAAAUGCCACAUUUGCGCUGUUUCACCCGCUUACACUUAAAUGACCACGAAAAUUUAAUCGGACCAUACUGGGACGAUCCCCAACCUUCCUAAAAUGCCUCAUUCAAUUUUUGGCCCACAGUACGCUCAGACCUUGGGCCAACCCUCAAAAUCGUGGGCUAUAUCACACCGAUUUAGUUUAAAAAUGCCCCAUUCACGCUGUCUCUCCCUUUUAUCCAUUUAAAUGACCACAAAAAUUUAAAUCGACCACACUAGGAUGAUCUCCAACCUUCCUGAAAUGCUCCGAUCAAUUUUCAGCCUACAGCAUGCCCGACCUCCGGGCCCACCCCCAAAACUGUGGGCUAUAGCACAUCGAUUUAUCCUGAAAAUGCCCCGUUCGCAUUGUUUUGCCCAUUUGUCCAUCCAAAUAGCCACAGAAGUUUAAACGGCCCUGGUAUGCCUAGGUUAAUUUUUAGCCCACAUCAUGCUCGAAACCCGGGCUCACCCCUAAAAUCGUAGGCUAUAGCACAAUGAUUUGGCCCAAAAAUGCCUCGUUCGCGCUGUUUUACCUAUUUGUCCACCCAAAUGGUCUUAAAAAUUUAAACAGACCAUACUGGGACAAUCCCCAACCUCCCUGACAAGCCCCAAUUGAUUUUUGGCACACAGCACGCCUUGACCUCGGGACCACCCCCAAAAUCGUGGGCAAUAGUACACUGAUUUGGCUCAAAAAUACCCCGUUCAUUCUAUUUUGCCCAUUUGUCCACCCAGAUGGCCACAAAAAUUUAAACGGACUAUAAUGGGACGAUCCCACACCUCCCUGGUACUCCUCGAUCGAUUUUUAGCCCACAACACGCCUGAACCUCGGGCCCACCCAUAAACCGUAGGCUAUAGCACUCAUAUUUGGCCCAAAAAUGCCCUAUUUGCGUCGUUUCGCCUGUUUAUCCACCCAAAUAGCCAUAAAAAUUUAAACGGACCACAUUGGGAUGAUCCCCAACCUCCCUGGCAUGCCCCGGUCAAUUUUUCUUCCACAGCACGCCCAGACCCCGAGUCCACUACCAAAACCGUGGGUAAUAGCACACUGUUUUUCCUAAAAAUGCCAUGUUCGCGCCGUUGUGCCCGUUUGUACACCAAAUGACCAUGGAAAUUUAAACAGACCACACUGGGAUGAUUAAAACCUCCCUGGUAUACCUCAAAUGAUUUUUGACCCACAGGACGCCUGAACCCCGGGCCCUCCCCUAAAACCGUGGGCUAUAGCAAAUCGAUUUGGCUAGAAAAUGCCCCUUUAGUGCCGUUUCGCCCCUUUGUCCACCCAAAUGGCCAUAAAAAUUUAAACGAACAACACACUGGAAUGAUCCUCAACCUUUAUUCCACACCCCGAAUGAUUGUUUAGCCCAUAUCAUGCCCGGACCUCAGACCCACCCCCGAAUUCGUAGGCUAUAGCACAACGAUUUGGCCUGAAAAGGUCCCAAUUGCGUUGUUUCGCUCGUUUGUCCACCCAAAUGGCCACAAAAACUUAAAAUAAACACACUGGGAUGAUACCCAACCUCCCUGACAUAUGUUGAUCAAUUUUUCAAACCACAGCACGCCCGAAACUCAAGCCUUUUCCCAAAAUCAUGGGCUGUACACUGAUUUUGCCCGAAAAUACCUCGGUCGUACCUUUUUGCCUGUUUGUAGUCCCAAAUGGCCAUAAAUAUUUAAAAAGACCAUAUUGGGAUGAUCCCUAACCUCCCUGUCAUGCCCCAAUCAAUUUUUGGUACACAACACGCUUGGACCCUGGGCCUACCCUCGAAACCGUGGGCUAGCUCACCAAUUUGGCCCGAAAAUGCCCUGUUUGUGCCAUUUCGCCUGUUUGUCGACCCAAAUGUCUACAAAUAUUUUAACAAACCAUACUGGGAUGAUCUCCAAUCUCCCUAGCGUGUCAUGGUCAAUUUUUGGCCUAUAGAACGCCUGGAUACCGAGCCCACCCCAAAACAGUGGGCUAUAUAGCACAACGAUUUUGCCUAAAAAUGCCCCGUUCACGCCGUUUCACCAGUUUGUCCACCCAAAUAGCCAUGAAAAUUUAAACAGACCACACUGGAUUAUACCCAACAACCCUGGCAUGCCCCAGUCAAUUUUAGGUCCAAAGCACGCCCGGACCCUAGGUCCACCCCAAAAUCAUGGGCUGUAGCACACCGAUUUGGCACGAAAAUACUCUGUUCGCGCCGUUUCGCCCUUUUGGCCACAUAAAUGGAAACAAAAAUUUAAAUGGACCACACUAGGAUGAUCCCCAACCUCCCUGGCAUGGCCCGGUCAAUUUUUGGCCCAUAGCAUGCCCGGACCCCAGGCGCACCCCCAGAACUGUGGGCUGUAGCACCCAAAUGGCCUGUUUGUCCAUUUCACCUGUUUGUCCACCCAAAUGGCCAAAAAAAUUUUAACGGACAACACUGGUAUGAUCCCCAACCACCCUGGCACACCGUGGUUAAUUUUGGCCCACAGAACUCCUGAACCCCUGGCCCACCCCAAAACCGUGGGCUAUAUAGCACACUAAUUUUGCCCGAAAAUGCCCCGUUCGCGCCGUUUCGCCGGUUUGUCCACCCAAAUAGCCACAAAAAUUUAAACAGACUACACUGGGAUGAUACCCAACAACUCUGGCAUGCCCCGAUUGAUUUUAGGCCCAAAGCACGCCAGGACCCUGGGUCCACCCCCAAAACCGUGGGCUGUAGCACAUCGAUUUGGCUCGAAAAUACCCCAUUUGCCAUGUUUUGCCCUUUUUCCCACUUAAAUGGCUACAAAAAUUUAAACGGACCACACUAGGAUGAUCCCCAACCUCCCUGACAUGCCCCGAUUAAUUUUUGGCCCAGAGCAUGCCUAGACACCAGGCCCACCCCCAGAACCGUGGGUUGUAGCACACCAAUUUUGUCCGAAAAUGCCCUAUUCGCGCUGUUUUGUCCUCUUUUCCAUGCAAAUGACCACAAAAAUUUAAACAGACCAAUUUUGUCUGAAAAUGCCCCAUUCGCGUCGUUUUACCCAUUUAUCCAGCUAAAUAGCCAUAAAAAUUUAAACGAACCACACUAGGAUGAUCCCUAACCUCCCCGACAUGACCUAGUCGAGUUUUUACCCACAGCAUGCCUAAAACCCGAGCCCACCCCAAAACUGAGGGAUAUAGCACACCGAUUUGGCCCGAAAAUGCCACAUUUUUACCAUUUUACCCGUUUGUCCACCCAAAUGGGCAAAAAAAUUUAAAUGAAUCACUUUGGGAUAAUCCCAACCUCCCUGGCAUGUCCCGAUAAAUUUUUGGUCCACAACACGUCUAGACCCCGGGCCCACCCACAAAACCAUGGGCUAUAGAACAUCGAUUUAGCCUGAAAAUGCCUUAUUCGGGAGGUUUCGCCCGUUUGUCCCCCAAAUGGCAAGGAAAAUUUAAACAGACCAUACUGGGAUGAUCCUCAACCUCCUUGGAAUGCCCCAAUCGAUUUUCAACCCACAGCACGCCUGGACCCCGGGCCCAACCCAAAACCAUGGGCUAUAGCACACCGAUUUGGCCCAAAAAUACUUCGUUCGUGCUGUUUCGCCCAUUUUUUCUGCCCAAAUGGUGCAUAAACUUAAGAGGACAACACUGGGACGAUCCCCAACCUCCUUGGCACGCCCUGGAUGAUUUUUAACCUACAGCACGCCCGAACCAUAUGCCCAACCCCAAAAUCGUGGGCUAUGGCACACCGAUUUGGCCUGAAAAUGCCUCGUUCAUGCCGUUUCACAUGUUUGUCCACCCAUAUGGCCAAAAAAAUUUAAACGGAACACACUGGAACGAUCCCCAACUUCUCUGGCAUGCCCCGGUUGAUUUUUGGCCCACAGCACGCCUGGACCCAUAGCCCACCCCCAAAACUGUUGCCUAUAACACACCAAUUUAGCCCCAAAAUGCCUCAUUCAUGCCGUUUUGAAAGUUUGUCCACCUAAAGGGCCGCAAAAAUUUAAACGGACUAUACUGGGAUGAUCUCAAACCUCUCUGGCAUGCCCCGAUCGAUUAUUGGCCUACAGCAUGCCUGAACCUAGGGCCCACCCCCGAAACCAUUGGUUAUAGCACAAUAAUUUUUCUCGAAAAUGCCCAAUUCACGCCGUUUCGCUCGUUUGUCCACCCAAAUGGCCAUGAUAAUUUAACCAAACUACACUGGACAAUCCCCAAACUCCCUGGCAUGCCCCAUUCAAUUUUUGGGCCGCAGCACACCCGAACCCCAGGCCCACCCCAAUACCAUAGGUUAUAACACACCGAUGUGGCUCAAAAAUACCCCAUUCGCGCCGUUUUGCACAUUUUUCCACCAAAAUGGUCAUGAAAAUUUAAACGAACCACACUGGGAUGAUCCCCAACCUCACUAGUUUGAUUUUAAACCAAAAGCACGCCCGGACCUAAGACCACCCUCGAAACUGCAGGCUAGAACACAAUGAUUUAGUCUGAAAAUGGCCCGUUCGUGUCGUUUUGCCCUUUUCUCCACCCAAAUAACCACAAAAAUUUAAACGAACCACACUGGGAUGAUCCCCAAACUACCCGACAUUCCCUAGUCAAUUUUUGACCCACAGCAUACCCGGAACCCGAGCCCACCCCCGAAAUCGUGGGCUAUAGCACAACGAUUUGACCAGAAAAUGCCCCGUUUUUGCAGUUUCACCUGUUUGUCCACCCAAAUGGCCAUAAAAAUUUAAACGAACCACUCUGGAAAGAUCCCAACCUCCCUAGCAUGCCUCGGUCGAUUUUUGGCCAACAACAUGUCUGGACCCCAGGCCCAUCCAUGAAAUCAUGGGUUAUAGCACACCGAUUUAGCUUGAAAAUGCCUUAUUCGUGACGUUUUGCCCGUUUAUCCACCCAAAUGGCCAUAAAAAUUUAAGCGGACCACACUGGGAUGAUCCCCAACCUCCUUGGCAUGGCCCAAUUAAUUUUUGUCCUACAGCAUGCCCGGCCCCUGGGCCGAACCCAAAACUGUGGGCUAAAGCACAUUGAUUUAGCUCGAAAAUGCCCAGUUCACACUGUUUCGCCCAUUUUCCCACCCAAAUAGCCACAAAAAUUUAAACGGACCACACUGGGACAAUCCCCAACCUACCUGGAAUGUUGUGGUCGAUUUUCGUCCCACAACACGCCCGCACCCUAGGCCCAUCCUUGAAACCAGGGGCUAUAGCACACUGAUUUGGCCUAAAAAUUCCUUGUUCGUGCUGUUUAGCCUGUUUUUUCCACUCAAAUGGCCAUAUAAAUUUAAACAGACCAUACUGGGAUGAUCCCCAAUCUCCCUGGUAUGCCCUAGAUGAUUUUUCGCCUACAACACUCCUUGACCCUAUGCCUAACCCCAAAACCAUGGGCUAUAGAAUACCGAUUUGGCACGAAAAUUUCCCGUUUGCAUCGUUUCGCCCGUUUGUCCACUCAAACGGCCACGAAAAUUUAAGCGAAACAUACUGGGAUGACCCCAACCUCCCUGGCAUGCCCCGAUCAAUUUUAUGCCUACAGCACACCCGGACCGCUAGCCCACCCCCGUAACUGUGGCCUAUAGCACACUAAUUUGUCCCCAAAAUGCCCCUUUCACCCCGUUUCACCCGUUUAUCCACUGAAACGGCCAUAGAAAUUUAAAUACAAAAAUUUAAACAAACUAUACUGAGAUAAUCUCCACCCUCCCUGGCAUUCUCCAGUCGAUUAUCGACCCAUAACAUGCCCAAACCCCAGGCCCACCCCCAAAAUCAUGGGUUAUAGCAUAUCGAUUUAGCCUGAAAACGCCCGAUUCGAGCUAUUUCGUCGGUUUGUCCACCCAAAUGACACAAAAAUUUAAAUGAACCACACUGGGACGAUUCUCAAAAUACCUGGCAUGUCCUAUUUAAUUUUUGGCCCACAGCACGCCUAAAACCCAGGCCCACCCCUGAUACCGUGGCCUAUAACACAUUGAUGCGGCUUGAAACUGCCCAGUUCCUAUCGUUUCGCCCAUUUGUCCACCCAAAUGGCCACAAAAAUUUAAACGGACCACACAAGGAUGAUCCCCAACAUCCCUGGCAUGCCCCGAUAGAUUUUUGACCCACAGCACGCCCGAUCCCUUGGCCUACCCCAAAAACCAUGGGAUAUAGCACACCAAUUCAGCCCGAAAAUGCCCCGUUCACAUCGUUUCACCCGUUUAUCCACCCAAAUGGCCACAAAAAUUUAAGAGGACCACACUGGGACAGUCUCAAAACCCCCAGCAUGCCUCAGUCGAUAUUUACCCACAACAUGCUCGGACCCUGGGCCCACCCUCAAAACCGUGGUUAUAGCACACCGAUUUGGCCGAAAAAUGCCCAGUUUAUGUUGUUUUGCACGUUUGUCCACCCAAAUGGCCACGAAAAUUUAAGCGGACCAUACUGGGACGAUCCCCAACUUCCCUAGAAUUCCUCGGUCUAUUUUCAGUACAUAGCACGCCCGAACCCUAGGCCUACCCCCUAAACUGUGGGUUAUAGCACACUAAUUUGGCCCAAAAAUGCCCCAUUCGCAUUGUUUAUCCACCUAAAUAGCCACCAAAAUUUAAAUGAACCACAUUGCAAUGAUUUCCAACCUCCCUGGCAUGAAUCGAUCGAAACCCAUACCCAUCCCCAAAAUUGUGGGCUAUAGCCCACUGAUUUUGCCUGAAAAUGCCCUAUUUGAGCCGUUUCACCCUUUUAUCCACCCAAAUGGCCACAAAAAUUUAAACGAACCACGUUGGGAUAAUCCCCUACCUCCUGAACAUACCCCGAUCAAUUUUUGACCCUUACCGCACUGGACUCCAGGCCCACCCUCCAAACCGUGGGCUAUAGCAUAUCGAUUUGGCUCAAAAAUAUCUCGUUCGUGCCGUUUUGCCCGUUUGUCCACCCAAAUGGCCACGAAAAGUUUAAUGGACUGUAUUGGGACUAUUCCCAACCUCUCUAGCACUCCUUGAUAAAUUUUAGGCCCACAUAAUGCCAGGAACUCAGGCCCAUUCCUGAUACCGUGGUCUAUAGCAAACCGAUUAAGCCUAAAAAUACCUCGUUUGGGCCGUUUCACCUAUUUGUCCACACAAAUGGCCAGGAAAAUUUAAACGGACAACAUUGGGAAGAUCCCAACCACCCUGGCAUGCCUAGAUCAAUUUUUGACCCACAGCAUGCUCGGACCUUGGGCUUACACACAAAACCGUGUGCUAUACUACACCGAUUUGGUCCAAAAAAGCCCCAUUCGUGCCAUUUCGCCUGUUUGUCAAGCCAAAUGGCCACGAAAAUUUAAACGAACCAUACUAGGACUAUCCCUAACCUCCUUGGCAUGCCCCCAUUAAUUUUUGGCCCACAACAUGCCUGGACCCCGGGCCCACCCCCGAAACCCUAGGUUAUAGCACACUGAUUUGGCUUGAAAAUGCGCCGUUCACGCUCUUUCGCCCCUUUGUCUACCCAAAUAGCCACAAAAAUUUAAAUAGAACACACUGGGAUGAUCCCCAACCUUCCUGGCAUGCCCCGAUCAAUUUUUAGCCCAAGACAUGCCCGGACCCCAGGCCCACCCCCGAAAUCGUGGGCUAUAGCACCUCGAUUUGGCCUGAAAAUGCCUUGCUCGUACCGUUUCACUCAUCUGUCUAUCCAAAUAGCCACAAAAAUUUAAUCAGACCAUACUGGGUUGAUACCCAACCUUUCUGGCUCGCCCCGGAUAAUUUUCAAGUCACAGUAAGCCUGAACCUCGAGCCCACCCCUAAACCGUGGCCUAUAGCAAACCGUCUUGGUCUGAAAAUGCUCCGUUCACGCCGUUUUACCCAUUUGACCACCCAAAUGGCCAUCAAAAUUUAAACGGACCACACUAGGAUGAACGACAACUUCCCUGGCAUACCCCGGUUGAUUUUUGGCCUACAACACGCCCGGACCUCAGGCCCUCCUCAAAAAUCGUGGGCUAUAGCACAUCGAUUUAGCCCAAAAAUGCUCCGUUCGUGCUGUUUUGCCUGUUUGUCCACCCUAAUAGCCACGAAAAUUUAAAUGGACCAUACUGGGAAAAUCCCAAACCUCUCUGGCAUGCAAUGGUUUAUUUUAACCCAUAACACGCUCGGACCCCUGGCCCACCCCCAAAACUGUGGGCUAUAGCACACCGAUUUGGCUCGAAAAUGCCCCAUUCGUGCUGUUUUGCCCGUUUGUCCUCCCAAAUAGCCACAAAAAUUUAAAUAGACCAUAUUGGGAUGAUCCCCAACCUCCCUGGCAUGGCCUAAUUAAUAUUUGGCCGACAGCAUGUCCUGACUCUGGGCACACCCCUGAAACUCUAGGCUAUGGUACACCGAUUCGGCCCGAAAAUGUCCCGUUCACGCUGUUUCACCCCUUUGUCUUCCCAAAUGGCCACUAAAAUUUAAACGGACCCCACUGGGAUGAUCCCCAACCUCUCUGACAUGCUCCAGUCGAUUUUCUGCCCACAACACGCUCGGACCCUGGGCCCACCCCCUAAAUCGUGGGCUAUAGCACACCAAUUUGGCCAAAAAUGCCUCGUUCACAUUGUUUCUCCUGUUUGUCUACCCAAAUGGGCAUGAAAAUUUAGAUGGACCACACUAGGACGAUCCUCAACCUCCCUAGAAUGGUUUGGUUGAUUUUUGGCUUGUAGAAUGCCCCUAAUCUCAUAGGCAUAGCUCAGUCGAUUUUUGGUUCACAGAAAGCCCAUACCCUGGGCCUACACCCAAAAUCGCAAGCUAUAGCACACCAAUUAGACCCGAAAAUGCCCUGUUCGUGCCGUUUCGCACGUUUGUCCACCUAAUUGGCCACAAAAAUUUAAAUGGACUACACUGGGACAAUCCCCAACCUCACUGGUUUGAUUUUCGACCCACAGUACGCCCGAACCCGAGCCCACCCACAAAAUUGUGGGCUAUAGAACACCGAUUUGGUCCAAAAAUGCCCCGUUCACGUCGUUUUGCCCAUUUGCCUACCCAAAUAGCCACAAAAAUUUAAACGGACCAUACAGGGAUGAUUCCCAACCUCCUUGGAAUGCCUCGAUCAAUUUUUAGCCCAUGGAAUGCCCGGAACACGGGCCCACCCCCAAAAUUUUUGGCUAUUGAAUACCGAUUUAGCCAUAAAAUGCCCCGUUCGCGCAGUUUCUCCCCUUUGUCCACCUAAAUGGCCACACAAAUUUAAAUAGACAGCACUGGGAUGAUCCCCAACCUUCCUUACAUACCCCGGUUGAUUUUUGUCCCAUAGCACGCCCUGACAUCGGGCACACCCCCAAAAUCGUAUACUAUAGCACACUACAUUUAUGUUGUUUUGCCUAUUUGUCCUCCUAAAUAGACUCAAAAAUUUAAACGGACCACAAUGGGAUGAUCCCCAAUCUCCCUGGAAUAGCCCGGUCUAUUUUUGACCACAGCAUGCUCGAAACUCGGGACCACCCCCGAAACCAUGGGCUAUAGAUCACUGAUUUGGCCCGAAGAUGCCCCGUUUGUGACAUUUCGCCAGUUUGUUAACCCAAAUGGCCACAAAAAUUAAAAUAGACUAUAAUGGGAUGAUCUCCAACCUCCCUGGCAUGCCCCGAUUGAUUUUUGGCUGCCGACAGCACGCUCGAACCUCGGGACCACCCACAAAACCAUGGGCUAUAGCAUACCAUUUUUGCCUAAAAAUCCUCGUUCACACCGUUUCGCCCGUUUGUCCACCUAAAUGGCCACAAAAACUUAAACGGACCAUACUGGGAUUAUCCCCAACCUCCCAGGAAAGUCCCUAUCAAUUUUUAGUCCACAGUAAGCCCCGACCUCGGACUUACCCCCAAAAUCGUAGGCUAUAGCACACCGAUUAGUUCCGAAAUUGCUCCGUUUUCAUCGUUUCACACGUUUGUCCACCCAAAUAGCCAUGAUCACUGGUUUUAUUUUUGACCCAUAGCAUGCCCGGACCUGGGACCACCCCCAAAAUUGUGAGCUAUGGGACACCGAUUUGAUCCGAAAAUGCUCUGUUCGCGUCGUUUCGCCUAUUUGUCAACCCAAAUAGCCAUAAAAAUUUAAACGAACCAUAUUGGGAAGAUCCCCAACCUCCCCGACAUACCUCGAUUGAUUUUUGACCAAGAUCAUUCCCGAACCCCGAUCCCACCCCCUAAAACUGCGGGCUAUAGAACACCGAUUUGUCUCGAAAAUGCCCCAUUCUUGUCGUUUCGCCCGUUUGUCCAUCCAAAUGGCCACAAAAAUUUAAAUGAACCACAAUGGGACGAUCCUCAAUCUCCCUGCAUGCCUCAAUUGAUUUUUUGCCCACAACACAUUCGGACCCCGAGCCCACCCAUAAAUCCGUGGGCUAUAGCACACCAAUUUAGCCUGAAAAAUGCCCCAUUAACGCUGUUUUGCCCGUUUGUCCACCCAAAUGGCCACGACAAAUUAAAAGUACAACACUAGGAUGAUCCCAAAGCUCCCUGGAAUGGCCCAAUAGAUUUUUGGCCCACAGGACGCCCGAACCCUGGGCCCAACCCAAAACUGUGGGCUAUAGAACACCGAUUUGGCUCGAAAAUGCCCCGUUCGCACCGUUUCACCUAUUUUUUCACUCAAAUGGCGAAAAAAAUUUAAACAGAUGACACUGGUACGAUCCUUGACCUCCCUAGCACAUACCGGUCAAUUUUUGGCGCACAACAUGCUCGGACCCUGGGCCCAUCCAUAAAAUCAGGGGCUAUAGCACUCCGAUUUGGCCUGAAAAUGCCCAAUUUAAGCUGUUUCGCCCAUUUUUUCCACCUGAAUAGCACAUAAAUUUAAACGGACUGUACUGGAAUAAUUCGCAACCUCCCUGGCACGCCCUGGAUGAGUUUUGACCCACAGCAUGCUCGGACCACGAGCCUAACCCCAAAAUUGUCGGAUAUAGCACAUCGAUUUGGCCUAAAAAUGCCUCGUUCGUGUCAUUCUGCACGUUUGUCCACCCAUAUGGCCACAAUAAUUUAAACGAAACACACUGGGAUGAUCCCCAACACGCCUAGACCCCGGGCCUACCCCCAAAAUUGUGGCCUAUGACACACCAAUUUUUCCCCAAAAUGCCCCAUUUUCGCUGUUUCAACCGUUUGUCCACCCAAACGGCCAUGAAAAUUUAAACACAAAAAUUUAAAUGGACCACACUGGGACAAUAUCCAACCUCCCUGACAUACCCCGAUCGAUUAUUGUCCCACAUCGAACCAUGGGCUCACCCUAAAACCAUGGGCAAUAGAUUACCGAUUUGGCUCGAGAAUGCCCUCUUUGCGCCGUUUCACCCAUUUGUCCACCCAAAUGACUAUGAAAAUUUAAACAUACCAUACUGGGAUGAUCCCCAACCUCCUGGCAUGCCCCAUUCAAUUUUUGGCCUACAACCCACCAGGACCUCAGGCUCACCCCCGAUACCGUGGGCUAUAACACACCGAUUUGGUCAAAAAUGUCCCGUUCACGUUAUUUCGCCCGUUAGUCCACCCAAAUGGCCACAAAAUUUAAAUAAACCAUACUGGGAUGAUCCCCAACAUCCCUGGCAUGCCUCGAUCAAUUUUUGGCCAACAGCACAUCCGGUCCCUGGGUCCACUCCUGAAAUCGUGAGCUAUAGCACACCAAUUUGGCCAGAAAAUGCACCGUUCGCGAUGUUUUACCUGUUUGUCCACCCAAAUGGCCACAAAAAUUUAAGCGGACCAUGCUGUGACAAUACCUAACCUCCCUAGCAUGCCCCGAUUGAUUUAUGCCCACAGCACGUCCGGACCCCGGACCCAUCCUCAAAACAGCGGGCUAUAGCAUACUGAUUUGGCCUGAAAAUAUCCCAUUCGCGUCGUUUAUCCGCCAAAAUGGCCAUAAAAAUUUAAACUGACCACACUGGGACGAUCCCCAACCUCAGUGUGCCCAGGUCAAUUUUUGGCCUGUAGCACGCCUGAACCCCAAGCCCACCCCAAAACUUUGGGAAAUAGCACACCGAUUUGGCAUAAAAUGAAUUGCUCGUGCUAUUUCACCUGUUUGUCCAUAAAAAUGGCCACAAAAAAUUCAACGGACCAUACUGGGACAACUCUAAAAUUCCCCGGCAUGCCUUGAUUGAUUUUUGGCCUAUAGUACGUCUGGAACCUGGGUCCACCACCAAAAUCGUGGGCUAUAGCACACCGAUUUUACCCAGAAAUGCCUAGUUCAUGUCGUUUUGCCCGUUUGUCCACACAAAUUGCCACAAAAAUUUAAGCAGACUACACAAGGAUGAUCCCUAACUACCCUAACAUGUGUCGGUCAAUUUUUAGCCCACAACACUCCUACACCCCAGGCCCACCCCCAAAGCCGUGGGCUAUAACACACCAAUUUGGAGCGAAACUGCCCCGUUUAUGCAGUUUCGCUUGUUUGUCCACCCAAAUGGCCACAAAAAUAUAAAAAGACCAUACUGGAAUGAUCCCCAACCUCCUUGUCACCCUACGGUCAAUUUUUAGCCCACAAAACGCUCGGACCCCAAGCAUCCCCCCAAAAUCGCGGCCUAUAGAACACCGAUUUUGCCCGAAAAUACCCCGUUUACACCAUUUUGCUCGUUUGUCCACCCAAAUAGCCACAAAAAUUUAAAUGGACCACACUAGGAUGAUUGUAAAACUCCCUGGCAUGCCAUGAUUGAUUUUCGGCCUAUAUCACGAUCGGACCCCGGGCCCAUCUCAAAAUCGUGGGCUAUGACACCCCGAUUUGGCUUUAAAAUUCCCCGUUUGCACCGUUUCGCCCGUUUGUCCACCUAAAUGGCCACAAAAAUUUAAGCAGAUCAUACAGGGAUGAUUUCGUACCUCCCUGGCACGCCCCAGUCAAUUUUUGCCUCAUAGCACGCCCGAACUAUGAGCCCACCCUCGAAAUCAUGGGCUAUGGCACACCGAUUUAGCCCGCAAAUGCCCAAUUCACUCCGUUUGGCCCAUUUGUCCACCCAAAUGGCCACGAAAAUAAAUGGACCAAUUGGGAUAACCCCCAACCUCCCUGGCAUGCCCUGAUUAAUUUUUAGCCAACAACACACUCGGACCCUGUGCCCACCCCCAAAAUCGUAGUCUAUAGCACAUCGAUUUAGCCUAAAAAUGCCCCAUUCGCACCGUUUGUCCACCCAAAUUGCUACAAAAAUUUAAAAAGACCACACUAGGGCGAUCCCCAACCUUUUUGGCAUGCCCCAAUUGAUUUUCAACCUACAGCACGCCUGGACCCCGAGCCCACCCCCGAAACCAUGGGUUAUAGCACACCGAUUUUGCCUGAAAAUGAAUUGUUUGCACCGUUUCACCUAUUUGUCCACCCAAAUGGCUAGAAAAAUUUAAACGGACCACACUGAGAUGAUCUCCAACCUCCAUGGCAUGCCGCGGUUAAUUUUCGAUUUACAGCAUGCCCGGUACCCGGCCCCACCACCAAGAUCAUGCAUAAUAGCUUAUCAAUUUGGCCCAAAAAUGCCCAGUUCACCCCGUUUCGCCUGUUUGUCCACCCAAAUGGCCACAAAAAUUUAAGCGGACCAUACUGGGACUAUUCCAACCUUCUUGGCAUGCCCCAAUCAAUUUUUUGGCACACAAUACGCCUAAAACUCGGGCCCACCCCCAAAAAUAUGGGAUUUAGCACACCAAUUUUUGCCGAAAAUGCCCUGUUCGCGCCAUUCUCCCAUUUGUCCACUCAAAUGGCCAUGAAAAUUUAAUUAGACCAAACUAGGAUAAUCCCUUACUUCCCUGGCAUGCUCUAGUCAAUUUUUUGCCCACAACAUGCCCGAACUCUGGGUCCAUCCCCAAAACCAGCGGCUAUAGCACACCGAUUUGGCCCAAAAAUGUCUAGUGUACGCCGUUUCAUCCGUUUGUCCACCCAGAUAGCCAUGAAAAUUUAAACGUACUAUACUGGGAUGAUCCCUAACCUCCCUAGAAUGCCCCAGAUGAUUUUUAGCCCAUAGCAUGCCCGAACCCCAUGUCUACCCCUGAAACCGUGGGCUAUAGCACACUAAUUUGGCCCAAAAAUGCCCUGUUCAUGACGUUUCGCCCGUUUAUCCACCCAAAUAGCCACGGCAAUUUAAACGGAAUACACUGAGAUGAUAUCCAACCUCACAACAAACUUGGAACCUGUGACCACUCCCGAAACCAUGGCCUAUAACACACCAAUUAGGCCCAAAAAUGCCCCGUUCGCGCCGUUUCGCCCGUUUGUCCACCCAAAUGGCCAAGAAAAUUUAAACGGACAACAUAAGAAUGAUCCCCAACCUGCUUGACACUCCCCGUUCAAUUUUGAGCCAGCAACAUGCCUGAACCCUGGGCCCACCCCCAAAACCAUGGGCAAUAGCACACCGAUUUAGCCUAAAAAUGCACGAUUCGUGUUGGUUCGCCCGUUUGUCCACCCAAAUAGCCACGAUAAUUUAAGCGAACCAUACUGGGACGAUCCCCAACCUCCCCAGCAUGCCUCAAUUGAUUUUUAGCCAACAGCACACCUGGACCCGAGCCCACCCUUGAAACCGUUGUCUAUAGCACACCGAUUUGGCUCGAAAAUGCCCUGUUCACACUGCUUCGCCCGUUUGUCCACCCAAAUAUCCACAAAAAUUUAAACAGACCAUACUGGGAUGAUCCCCAACCUCUCUAGCAUGGCCAAGUCUAUUUUCAACCUAUAGCACACUCGAAUACUGGGCCCACCCCCAAAAUCGUGGGCUAUAGCACAUCGAUUUGGCUAAAAAAUGACCCAUUCGUGCUGUUUGUCCACCCAAAUGGACACAAAAAUUUAAAUGAACCACGCUGAAAUAGUCCCCAACCUUUUUGGCAUGCCUCAGUCGAUUUUUGGCCUACAGCAUACCUGGACUCCGAUUCCACCCCCAAAACUAUGGGUUAUAGCACACCGAAUUAGCCAAAAAAUGAAUCGUUCGUGCCGUUUCAUCCGUUUGUCCACCUAAAUGGCCACGAAAAUUUAAAUGGACUAUAUUGGGAUAAUCCCCAACCUUCCUGACAUGCCCCAUUUGAUUUUUGGCCCAUAGGACGCAUGGACACCAGGCUCACCCUCUUAAUCGUGGGCUAUAGCACAUCAAUUUGGCCCAAAAAUGCCCAAUUCACGCCGUUUAGCCUUUUUGUCCACACAAAUGGCCACAAAAAUUUAAAUGGACUAAACUGGGAUGAUUGCUAACCUCCCUGGCAUGUCCCAAUCAAUUUAAACAGAUCACACUGGGACUAUUGCCCACCGAUUUGUCCUAAAAAUCCCCCAUUUAUGCCGUUUUGCUCGUUUAUCCAUCCAAAUGGCCUCAAAAAUUUAAACGGACCACACUGGGAUGAUCCCUUACCUCUCUGGCAUACCCCAAUCAUUUUUUAGCCCAUAGCACACUGGAACCCAGGCCCUCCCUCAAAACCGUGGGCUAUAGCACAUCGAUUUGGCACGAAAACUCUCCGUUUACGCCGUUUCACUCGUUUGUCCACCCAAAUAGCCACAAAAAUUUUAACGGACAAUACUGGGACUAUACCCAACCUCCCUGGCAUGCCCUAAUCAAUUUUGGGCCUAUAUCAUGCCAGAAACUUGGGCCCACUCCCAAUAACAUGGGCUAAAGCACACCGAUUAGGCCCGAAAAUGCCCUAUUCGCGCCAUUUCACCUGUUUGUCCAUACAAAUUGCCACAAAAAUUUAAGCAGACAACACAAGGAUGAUCCCUAACUACCCUGACAUGUGUCGGUCAAUUUUUGGCCACAGCACACCUGAACCAGGGGCCCACACACGAAACCUUGGGCUAUAGCACACUGAUUUGGCUCAAAAAUGCCCCAUUCGUGCUGUUUCGUCCCUUUGUCCACCCAAAUGGCCACAAAAAUUUAAACGGACCACACUAGGAUGAUCCCAAACCUUCCUGGAAUGCCCUGAUCGAUUUUAAGCCUAAGCACACCCGGACCCUGGGCCCAACCCCAAAAUCGUGGGCUAUAGCACACCAAUUUGGCCAAAAAAUGCCUUGUUCAUGCUGUUUCACCCAUUUGUCCACCCAAAUAGCCACAAAAAUUUAAAUAGACCACACUGGGUUGAUCCCUAACUUUCUUGGCAUAUCCCAAAUGAUUUUUGACCUACAGUAAGCCCAAACCCCGAGCCCACCCCCAAAACCGUGGCCUAUAGCACACCAACUUGGCCCAAAAAAUGCAUUGUUCACGUCGUUUCACCCGUUUAACCAUCCAGAUGACCAUACAAAUUUAAAAAGACCACUAGGAUGAUCCUUAACCCCCUUUUAUGCCCCGAUCGAUUUUUGGCACACGGCAUGCCCGAACCCCAGACCCACUCCCAAAACUGUGGGCUAAAGCACACCGAUUUAGCUCGAAAAUACCCCGUUUGGCUAUUUCAUCCGUUUGUCCACCUAAUUGGCCAAAAAAAUAUAAACUGACCAUAUUGGAAAGACCCAACCCCCUCGGCAUGCCCGAUCAAUUUUUGGCCAACAACACGCCUGAACCACGGGCCCACCCCCAAAACCAUGGGCUAUAGAAAAUGAUUUGGCCCUAAAAUACCCCGUUUGCGCCGUUUUGCCAGCCACAAAAAUUUAAACGGACUUCACUGGGACAAUCCCUAACCACCGUGGCAUGCCCCGACAGAUUUUUGGCCCACAGCACACCCGGACCUUGGGCCCAACCCUAAACCGUGGGCUAUAGCACACCGAUUUGGCUCACAAAAUGCCAUGUUCGCGCCAUUUCACCCGUUUGUCCACCCAAAUAGCCACAAAAAUUCAAAGGGACCACACUGGGAUGAUCACUAAUCUCACUAGCAUACCCCAAUCGAUUUGCAGCCCAUAGCACGCUCGGACCCCGCAUCCACCCCAAAAACCGUGGGCUAUAGUACACCAAUUUAGUUCGAAAUGGCCCUAUUCGUGCCAUUUUGCCCGUUUGUCCACCCAAAUAGCAAUAAAAAUUUAAACGGACAAUACUGCAAAAAUCCCCAACUUUCCUGGUAUGCCUCGGUUGAUUUUCGACCCCCAGCUUGCCAGGACCUCGGGCUCACCCCUAAAACCGUGGGAUAUAGCACACCAAUUUUGCUCGAAAAUGCCCCGUUCAUAUCGUUUCACCCGUUUGUCUUCCCAAAUGGCCACAAAAAUUUAAACAGACCACACUAGGAUGAUCCCCAACUUCCCUGGCAUGCCUCGAUCGAUUUUUAGCCCACAGCACGCUCGGACCCCUGGCCCCCCUAUGAAACCGUGGCCUAUAGCACACCGAUUUAUCCUGAAAUUGCCUUGUUCAUGCCGUUUUACCUAUUUGUCCACCCAAAUGGCCAUAAAAAUUUAUACGGGCCACACUGGGACAAUCCCAAACCUCCCUGGCAUACCCUAGUCAACUUUUGACCCACAAAAUGCCUGGAUCCCUGGCCUACCGCUAAAACCGUGGGCUAUGGCACAUCGAUUUAGCUCGAAAAUGCUACGUUAGCGUUGUUUCACCUGUUUGUCCAUCCAAAUAGACACAAAAAUUUAAAUGUACCAUACUGGAAUGAUCCCUAACCUCUCUGGCUUGACUGGAUCAAUUUUUGGCCCAUAGACCGCCUGGACCCCGUCCCACCCCCAAAAUCGUGGUCUAUAGCACACCGCUUUGGCCUGAAAAAUGCUUCGUUCGCGACGUUUCACCUAUUUGUCUAACCAAAUUGCAAUAAAAAUUUAAACGGACCAUACUGGGACAAUCCCCAACUUCCCUGGCACGCUCUGAUUGAUUUUUUGCCCACAGCACAUUCGGACCCCAGGUCCACCCUCAAAACCGUGGGCUAUAGCACAACUAUUUAGCCUGAAAAUAUCCCGUUCGCAUCGUUUCUCCCGUUUAUCCACCCAAAUGGCCACAAAAAUUAAAACGGACUACAUUGGGAAGAUCCACAAUCUUCCUGGCAUGCCUCGAUCAAUUUUUGACACACAGCACGCCCGGACCCCAAGCCCACCCCCGAAAUUGUGGGCUAUAGUACACCAAUUUUUCCUAAAAAUGCCCAUUCAUGACGUUUCACCCAUUUGUCCUCUCAAAUGGCUACAAAAAUUUAAACGGACCAUACUGGGAUGAUCCCCAACCUCCCUGGCAUACCUCGGUUGAUUUUUUGUCCUACAACAUACCCGAUCCACGGGCUCACCCCCAAAACCGUAGGCUAUGGCACACUGGUUUGGUCGAAAAAUGCCUCGUUCGUGCUGUUUUGCCCUUUUGUCCACUCGAAUGGCCACAAAAAUUUAAAAGGACCUCACUGGGUUGAUCUCCAACCUUCCAGGCAUGCCUCAGUUGAUUUUUAGCCCACAGUACACCUGAACCCUGGGCCCACCCCAAAAAUAUGGGCUAUAGCAUACCGAUUUAGCCUGAAAAUGCCCGUUCACGUCGUUUUGCCCGUUUGUCCACCAAUAUGGCCACAAAAAUUUAAACGGACCAUACUAGGAUGAUCCCCAACCUCCCUAGGAUAUCCCAGUUGAUUUUCGAUGCACAGCACACCCGGACCCCACAUCCACCCAAAAAUUGUUGGCUAUAGAACUCUGAUUUGGCCUGAAGAUGCUCGGUUCACGACGUUUUGCCCAUUUGUCCACCCAAAUAGACACAAAAAUAUAAACGAACUAUAUUGGGAUGAUCCCAAAUCUCCCUGGUAUGCCCCGGUCGAUUUUUGGUCCACAAUACGCCUGGACCCUUGGCCCACCCCUAAAAUCUAGGGCUAUAGCACAUCGAUUUAGCUUGAAAAUGUCCCAUUCGGCUGUUUCAUCCGUUUGUCCACCUAAACAGCCAUAAAAUUUAAACGAACCACACUGGGAUGAUCCCCAACCUCCCUGGUACACCCCAAUCGAUUUUUAGACCACAACACGCCCGAACCCCGGGCCCACCCCCAAAACCAGGGGCUAUAGCACACCGAUUUUGUUGAAAAAUACCCCGUUCAUGCUGUUUCAAUUAUUUGUCACCCAAAUAGCCACAAAAACUUAAACAGAAAAUACUGGGACAACAUGCUCGGACCUAGGAUCCACCCCCAAAACCGUCGGCUAUAGCACACCGAUUUGACCUGAAAGUGCUAGUUUGUACCAUUUUGCUCGUUUGUCUACCCAAAUAGCCACAAAAAAAUUAAACAUACCACACUAGGAUGAUCACCAAUCUCCAUAUAUGCCCUGAUCGAUUUUUUCCCCAUAACACGCUCGAACCCCAGGCCCACUGCCAGAAUCGUGGGUUAUAACACACAGAUUUGACCCAAAAUUGCCCCGUUCAUGUCCUUUCACUUGUUAUCGACCCAAAUGGCCAUGAAAAUUUAAAUGAACCAGAAUGGAAUGAGCCCCAACUUUAAUGGUUUGAUUUUCGACCCACAGAAUGCUCUAAUCCCAAGCCCACCCCUGAAACCGCUGGCUAUAGCACAACGAUUUGGCCCAAAAAAGUCCCGUUCUUCCCGUUUCACCUGUUUGUCCACCCAAAUGGCCACGAGAAUAUUAACGAACCACACUGGGAUGAUCCCCAACCUUCCUAGCAUACCUCAAUCAAUUUUUGGCCCACAACAUGUCUGGACCCCAGGCCUACCCACAAAAUUGUUGGCUAUAACACAUCGAUUUAGCCUGAAAAUGUCCCAUUCACGUAGUUUCACCCGUUUGUCUACCCAAAUGGCCAAUAAAAUUUAAAUGGAUCACACUGGGAUGAUCAUUAACCUCAUUGACAUUCCCCAAUCAAUUUUUGGCAUGCAUCACUCUUGGACCCUGGGCCCUACCCAAAAUCGUGCGCUAUAGCAUAUCGAUUAGGCCCAAAAAUGCCCCGUUCGAGCUGUUUUUCCACCCAAAUGGGCAUAUAAAUUUAAAAUAACCACACUGGGACAAUCCCUAACCUCUCUGGAAUACCCCGGAUGACUUACGUCCAACAGAACACCCACCCCAUACCUAACCCAAAUGCCCCGUUCGCGUUUUUUUUGCCCAUUUGUACAUCCAAAUGGCCAUAAAAAUUUAAACGGAACAUGCUGGGAUGAUCCCCAACCUCCCUGGUAUUCCCCAAUUAAUUUUAGGCCUACAUUAUGAGCUAACCCCGGGACAACCCAAAACCAUGGGAUAUAGCCCACCGAUUUAGCUUAAAAAUGCCCGAUUCGCUCCAUUUCGCCUGUUUGUCCACCCAAAUAACCACAAAAAUUUAAGAGGACUAUAGUGGGAUAAUCCCUAACCUACUUGGCAUGCCCCAUUAGAUUUUAGGCCUACAACACGCUCAGAACCUGGGACCACCACCGAUACCGUGGUCUAUAACACACCAAUUUUGCCCAAAAAUGCCUCGUUCGCGUAUUUUUGCUUGUUUGUCCACCUAAAUGGCCACUAAAAUUUAAAUGGUUCAUACCAGGAUGAUCCCCAACCUCCCUGGCAUGCCCAGAUUGAUUUUUAGCCCAAUGCACGCUCGGUCCCUAGACGCACCCCAAAAAUCCUGGGCUAUAGCAUACCAAUUUGGCUUUAAAAUGCACCAUUUGCGCUGUUUCACCCGUUUGUCCACCCAAUAGUUCACAAAAUUUAAGCAAACAACACUGGGUCAAUCCCCAAGCUUUUUAGAACACCUCAGUCAAUUUUGUCCCAUUGCACGAUCGAAUCUCAGACCCAUCCUCAAAAUCGUGGGCUACCGCACAUCGAUUUGGCCUGAAAAUGCCUCGUUCAUGUCGUUUCGCACGUUUGUCCACCCAAGUGGCCACAAAAAUUUAAGCAGACUACACUAGGAUGAUACCCAUUUUCCAUGGCAUGCCUCAGUCUAUUUUUAAUAUAUAGCACGCUCGGACCCUAGGCCCACCCCUAAACCGUAGGCUAUAGCACACCGAUUUAGCCUGAAAAUGCCCCAUUCACACUAUUUUGCUAGUUUAUCCACCCAAAUAGCCACAAAAAUUUAAAUGGACCAUACUGGGAUGAUCCCCAACUUCUUUGGCACACCUCUGUCAUUUUUUGGCCAACAACACGCCUAAACCGCGAGGCUACCCCCAAAAAGUGGGCAAUAGCACACCGAUUUGGCUUGAAAAUGAAUUAUUCAUUCCGUUUCACCCGUUUGUCCAUCCAAAUGGCCACACAAAUUUAAACGGACCAUAUUGGGAUGAUCCCCAAUAUCCUUGGCAUGCCUCAGUCAAUUUUUGGUCAACAGUACACCCGAAUCCUGGGCCCACCCAUAAAAUCGUGGGUGAUAGCAUACCAAUUUGGCCUAAAAAUGCCUAGUUCACGUUGUUUUGCCCGUUUGUCCACCCAAAUUGCCAUGAAAAUCUCCAAACUACCUAGCAUGCGCAGGUCAAUUUUUGUCCCACAGCAUGCCCAGACUCCGAGUCCACUGACAAAAUAGUGGACUAUAGCACACUGAUUUGGCCCAAAAAUGCAUCAUUCUCGCUGUUCCACUCGUUUGUCCUCCUAAAUGGCCACAAAAGUUUAAAUGGACUACACUUGGAUAAUUGUCAACCUCCCUGGCAUGCCUCGAUCGAUUUUCAGCCUACAGCAUGCUCGAAACUCGGGACCAUCCCCAAAAUCGUGGGCUAUAGCACACUAAUUUUGCCUGAAAAUGCCUCAUUCAUACUAUUUUGCUCGUUUGUCCAACCAAAUAGCUAGGAAAAUUUAAAAGGACCAUACUGGAAUGAUCCCCAACUUUCCUGGCAUGCCCCGAUCGAUUUACAGCUUAUAUCACACAUGAACCCCAGGCUCACUCCUAAAAUUGUGGGAUAUAGCUUACUGAUUUUGCCCAAAAAUUCCCCGUUUGCAUCAUUUUGCCCGUUUAUCCACCCAAAUGGCCACAAAAAUUUAAUUGAACCACAUCGAGAUGAUCCCUUAUCUCCCUGGCAUGCACCAGUCAAUUUUUACCUCAUAGCACGCCCAAAAACUGAACCCACCUUCCAAACAAUGGGCUAUAGCACACCGAAUUAGCCUGAAAAUGCCUCAUUCACGCCGUUUCAUCCAUUUGUCUACCCAAAUGGCCACCAAAAUUUAAAUGGACCACAUUUAAACAAUCCCCAACUUCCUUGGUAUACCCCGUUAGAUUUUUAGCAAACAACAUGCUUGGACCCCGGGACCACCCUCGAUACCAUUGGCUAUAGCACACCAAUUUGGCCCAAAAAUGCCUCAUUCAUGCUUUUCUUCCAUUUGUCCUCCCAAAUAGCCACGAAAAUUUAAAUGGACCAUACUGGGAUGAUCCCUAACCUCUCUGGCAUUCCCCGAUCGAAUUUCAACCAACAACAAGUUUGGUCCUUGGGUUCACCCCUAAAACCGUAGGCUAUAGCACACCGAUUUAGCUAAAAAAUGCUCUAUUUGCGUCGUUUCUUCUUUUUGUCCACCCAAAUGCCAUAAAAAUUUAAAUAGACCACACUGGAACGAUCCCUAACCUUUCUGGUAUGCCUUGGUCAAUUUUUGGCCCACAACACGUACGGACCCAUGGCCAACCCCUGAAAUCGUGGGCUAUAGCACACCGAUUUGGCCUAAAAAUGCCCCGUUCGUGCCGUUUCACCCGUUUGUCCACCCAAAUAGCCACAAAAUUUAAACGGAUCACAUUGGGAUGAUCCCCAACUUCCCUGGUAUGCCUCGAUUGAAUUUCAGCCAAUAACACGCUCGAUCCAUGGGCCCACCCACAAAACCGUGGGCUAUAUCACACCAAUUUUGAUUGAAAAGGCCCUAUUUGCAUUGUUUUGCCCGUUUAUCCUCCCAAAUAUCCAUGAAAAUUUAAAUAGACCACACUGGGAUGAUCCCUAAGCUCGCUGACAUGUUUCGAUCAAUUUUCCGCCCACAGCACUCCUGAACCCUGGUCCUACACCCAAACCCGUGCGCUACGCACACGGAUUUGGUCCAAAAAUGCUCCAUUCAUGUUGUUUCUCCCGUUUGUCCACUCAAAUAGCCAUAAUAAUUUAAAUGGACCACACUGGGAUGAUCCCCAACCUCCCUUGCAUGCUCAGCUUAAUUUUUGGCCCACAGCACGCACGAACCGUUGGCCCACCCCCAAAACCGUAGGAUAUAGCACACCGAUUUAGCCUAAAAAUGUCCCAUUCACACUGAUUCGCCUAUUUGUCCACCCAAAUGUCCAUAAAAAUUUAAAUGGUUCAUACUGGGAUGAACCCCAACCUACCUGGCAUGCCCUAGUUGAAUUUUGGCCCACAGCUCGCCCGAACCCUGGGCCCACCCCCGAAACCAUGAGUUAUAGCACACUAAUUUGGCUCGAAAAUAUCCGAUUUACACCAUUUUGCCUAUUAGUCAACUCAAAUAGCCAUGAAAAUUUAAACAGACCACACUGGGAUGAUCCCCAACCUCCCUGGCAUGCCCCAUUCAAUUUUUGGCCUACAACACUAAUACGAGCCAAAUUGCCAUCUAUGCUUUUGAAGACUUCAUUGGAUGCCAACGCAUAAAGACUCAAGACUUGGUCACCUCGAGGACACAAGAACAUGCAUGGAGGACUCAUUUUGAGCAUGACAUAAGGUAAACCCGUCUGUGGAAGAUUACAUGGGGGCUUACCUUUGAUGCCAACCCAAGACUACAAGUGUUGAAGAAUGACCCUAUGGUUGUGGAGCAUUGAAUAAGAACCCUUCAUUAAGGGUAUUUUGGGGAUCACACUUUGUUAGAAAGACACUUCAUGGCCACCCCUUUCAUUAAGGGUAUUAUGGUCAUUUUUGUUAUGAAAUAAGCUAGCCUCUAUAUAGUCUUCUAUUAAGUCAUUUGCUCUUUAGCUUUGGAAGGAUAAAUAUGUGAAUGAAUUCUUCUCUCUUUGAGAGGGUAACACCCUUAGUGUAGGGAUUGGAUAAGCCAUUAGUGUAGGGCUUGGAAAAGCCAAUAUUGUUCUUUGCUUGGAAACGGUGGAUCUUGAGGUGAGUUGAUUCCCUUGGUGGUCACCGUAAGAACUUGGUACUUGUUAACUUGUUUGUAGAGGUUUUAGAGUUUUGAUACAAUCUUUAGUUUCUACCUAAUGGGUUCUCUUUGUGUCAAGUUAGCUAUUUUUUACUCUAUUUAAGUUUAUGUUUGCUUUUCGUACCGUGUUGUUGUCUUGUUGUUGCGGGUAAAGGCUUGUGAUUGUGGGUUGUUUACGGACUGUUUUGGUGUCGUAGAUAACAUUUGGUAUCAGAGCAAGGAUUGAUUUUGUUCCAAAAAAAUCAAUCUUAGGCUUGUUAGUUGAAAAAUAAAAAACAAAAAGUGUUGAAAUCCAAAAAUCUCAGAAAAAGAAAUCUGUCCCAUUUUUGUAUUUGAGCUGAAAUUUGAGACUUAGAUUCAGGAUAUUUUAGUGUGUUUUGUUGUUUCUUGUGUUAGUCCCUUCUUCACUAACAGUUAUAGAGUCUAUAUCUAAAUUUUGAGUCAUUUCCAAGUUGUUUUUGAACUUUGAAGGUUGCUUUUUUUGAGGAUUGGUGGCUUGAAAGAGUAUUGUUGAAGUUUGUUGUUGAGAUUGUGGCUUAAAAACGUUUUUUUUUGUUGUUGUUGAGGGUUGGAGCUUGAAAAAUGUGUUAUUGAUGUGUGGGAUCCAACUUGAACCAUAGAAAUCUAAGAUUCAAAAGUUGUGUUCUUGGUGUUCUUCACCAUCAUCAUAUUUUGUUGAAGAGAAAAUGAUUGUUUGAUCUUAGAAAUUAAAAAAAGAGAGUGUGUCUUGUUGUUAGUCUUGAAAUACACAACUCUAAGACAUUCAAAGGGGAAGGGGACGAAAGGGUUUCAAAAGUUGUCUUGCCAAAAGGGAGAAAGUCCACCUACCAAGACUUACAAAAAGGGAAAGAGCCAAAAGUCUUUCAAAAAGGUGUUUAACCAAAAAGGUGCAAAAAAGUCAAACACUUUUUGAACUUGAAAAAGGGCUUCAAAGUCUUGUUGUUACCCUCCCAUAGCCUAAAUUCCUCCAUUCCCCACUUGAAAUUUGAUCAAUACAAUUUGAAGACAAGAAAAUUUCUCAAACUUUCAACAAUUUUAAUGUCCAAUAGGAGGUUGCCAUGUCAUCACCCUAUAAAAACGACCCUUAGGCUCAAAAUUUUAGAUUUUUAAGUUUCAUUUCUUGUUUCUUUAUUUUCAAUUUUCUUGAUCCUAGUACAAAUAGACAAACUACUAAUCACCUACUAGAUUGUUAAUUAGUUUUUGAAUACGUUUCUUUCGUGUCUUCGUUAUUUGUGUGCUUUUCUCGUUUGUAACUCGUAGUAACUUCUUUGUUUCAAGUUUGUAAGCGAAUUUUGUUUUGUGUCUUGAGUCAAUCAAAACAAGAAUCCAUUUCGGCCGCCAAGUAGGAUUGACAUCUUAUUGACUACCGGAGUAUAAGCAACUUUCAAUAUUCACCGCUCCAAUUGUGUGAAUCACAAAGGUGAGUGUAUCGAGUGUUGGUAAGGAGCCUUUACUACUAAUCUUGUUUGUUUUCUUUUGUUUUUUGUUGUCUUUUUUUUUUUUAUUUUUUUUAGGUACCAUGGCUGCCCAUAAUUUAAGGUUACGUGUAAUCGCAUCUAUGACGAUCUUGAAGAUAUGCAACGGUACAUUGAAAUUAUACACCAAUUGUUACCCAAACUCUUUCCUCAAAAUCUAAUUGUCCAAACAACUUGCGAUGAGAUCUUCCCAAAGAAAGUUUCUGCCCAAGCUUUUGAUGGACUUUCACAUCAAGGUAAAUACAAACAUACUCAUUAAUGUCAAGGUAAAAUAGCUAACUCUUACACUUUUGUACAUGCGAAUGAUAAUUGUGUGGCUAGUAGCCCAAUGAGUAUGAGUUGUAGCUUGCCUAUAUGUGAGUCUAUUACUUCUUUGCCACUUGAUGAUGAUGUACUUUUGCUUAAAUUGCAUGAAUCCCAACUUGUGGAUGCCAAGUUGUCUAUUUGUUUGACGAAAAGAGAGUGAAUGUGCUUAAAUACUUUGUCUUCACCCGUGCAUGUCUUUAUACUUGAUUAUUUCCUAUACUACCUCUUUGCCUAUAAUGACAUCCAUGCUAGUUUCGGGUUUGCAUUAAGUAGAGGUAUAGGUUUUAUUGGUUGGCCCACUUGUUUGAAUGACAAAGUUAUGUGGGAUUGGUGGACUUUGAUAUCAAUAGUGGCAUCACAUUUGAUGAGACCACUUGAAGAGGUAAUGAAACAAUUGUGCUUUAUGGUUCCUAAGACAAGGGUAGCCUUACUUUUUGGACUUGGUGAUACCAUUACGACUUUUGUAGUUUCUUUUUCUCUUGAUACUUGUCAUAGCCAUUUCCUUUGUAACAUUCUUACUAAACUUUUCUUGACUAAUAAAAUAGAUUCAUGGUUAUAUCUCAAGUAUGUACCACCUUGGCAUGAUGAUGUUAUUUGUUGUACUAACCCUAACCCUUAUGCCAUGAGAAAGUUGUGCUUGUUUCUCCUUUCCUUAGUUUUACAAGGUAUGGAUUCGAGGUCGAAUCCUUUUCAAGAAGGGGAGGAUGAUACGAGCCAAAUGGCCAUCUAUGCUUUUGAAGACGUCAUUGGAUGCCAACGCAUAAAGACUCAAGACUUGGUCACCUCGAAGACACAAGAACAUGCAUGGAGGACCCAUUUUGGUCAUGAAAUAAGGUAAACCCGUGUGUGGAAGAUUGCGUAGGGGCUUACCUUUGAUGCCAACCCAAGACUACAAGUGUUGAAGAAUGACCCUACGGUUGUGGAGCAUUGAAGAAGAACCCUUCAUUAAGGGUGUUUUGGGGAUCACACUUUGAUAGAAAGACACUUCUUGGCCACCCCUUUCAUUAAGGGUAUGUGGUCAUUUUUGUUAUGUAAUAAGAUAGCCUCUAUAUAGUCUUCUAUUAAGUCAUUUGCUCUUUAGCUUUGAAAGGAUAAAUAUGUGAAAGACUUCUUCUCUCUUGGAGAGUGUAACACCCUUAGUGUAGGGCUUGGAUAAGCCAUUAGUGUAGGGCUUGGAAAAGCCAAUAUUGUUCUUUACUUGGAAAUGGUGGAUCUUGAGGUGAGUUGAUUCCCUUGGAAGUCACCGUAAGAACUUGGUACUUGUUAACUUGUCUUUUAGGGGUUGUAGAGUUUAAUAACCUCUUUAGUUACUACUUUACAUAUUUCCCUUGUGUCAAGUUAUCUAUCUUCUUUAUCAUUAAGUUUGUGUUUGCUUCCUUGUGUUGUUUUGUGUCUUGCAUGUUAUGGGUAUUUGAGGGUCGCCCGGACCCCGGGAUCACCUCCAAAAUCGUGGGUUAUAAUACACUGAUUUAGCCCAAAAAUGCCCAUUCACGCCGUUUUACCUAUUUGUCCACCCUAAUGGCAACAAAAAUUUAAAUGGACUACACUGGGAUGAUCCCCAAUCUCCCAGGUACGCCCAGGCUGAUUUUUGGCCCACAUCACGCAUGGACCCCUGUCAAACCCUGACACUGUGGGCUGUAGCACACCAAUUUGGCCCGAAAAUACCUCGUUUGCCUCGUUUCGCCCGUUUGUCAACCUAAAUGACCACAAAAAUUUAAUCAUACCACACUGGGAUGAUCCCCAACCUCCUUCGCAAGCCUCGGUUGAUUUUCGACCCACUGCAUACCCUACCCCAAGCCCACCCCCGAAAUCAUGGGCUAUAACACGCCGAUUUGGCCUAAGAAUGAACCGUUUGCGCCGUUUCACCCGUUUGACCAUCCAAAUGGCCAUAAAAAUUUAAGCGGACCAUAAUAGGAUGAUCCGACACCUAUCUUACAUGCCCUGAUCGACUUUUGGCCCACAAAAUUCUCGGACCCUAGGCCCACCCUCGAAACCGUAGGCUAUAGCACACUGAUUUGGCCCAAAAAUGCUCCGUUCACGCCGUUUGCCCGUUUGUACACCCAAAUGGCCACAAAAUUUUAAGAGGACCAUAGUGGGAUGAUCCCCAACCUCCCUGGCACACCUCGGUUGAUUUUUUCCUCACAACACACUCGAACCCUGGACCCACCCUCAAAACUGUAGGCUAUAGCACACCGAUUUGGCCCAAAAAUGCCUCGUUUGCACCAUUUUGCCCGUUUGUCCACCAAAUGGCAGAAAAAAUUUAAACAAACCACUCUGGGAUGAUACCUAACCUCCCUGGAACACCCCGGUUGAUUUUUUGGUCCACAGUACACCCGAACACCAGCCCCACCCUCAAAAUCGUGGGCUAUAGCACACCGAUUUGGCCCCAAAAAGCCCCGUUGGCAUCUUUUCGCCCGUUUGUCUACCCAAAUAGCCAUGAAAAUUUAAACAGACCAUCAUAGGAUCAUCCCUAACCUCCCUGGAACACCCUGAUCUCUUUUCGGCCCACAACACACCCAGACACUGGGUCCAUCCUUGAAACUGUGUGCUAUAGAACACCGAUUUAUCCUAAAAUUGCCCCAUUCACGCCGUUAUGCUAGUUUGUCCACCAAAAUGUCAAAAAAAAUUUGAAUGGAGCACACUGGGAUGAUCCCCAACCUCCCUAUCAUACCCAGGUCAACCUUCGGCCCACAGCACGCCCGGACCCCGGGCCCACCCCCAAAACUGUGCGCUAUAGCACAAUGAUUUAGCCCAAAAAUGCCCCAUUCAAGCUGUUUCGCCUGUUUGUCCACCCAAAUAGCCACUAAAAUUUAAACGAACCACACUAGGACGAUCCCUAACCUCCUUGGCAUGCCCCGAUAGAUUAUCGGCCCACAACACGCCCGGAUUCCAGACCCACCCCAAAAUCAUUGGCUAUAACACACCGAUUUGGCGCAAAAAUGCUUCAUUCGCACUGUUUGUCCACCCAAUUAGCCAUGAAAAUUUAAACGGACCACACUAGGAUGAUAACCAACCUCCUUAGCACUCCCCGAUCGAUUGUUGGCCUGUAGAUCGUCCGGACACCGGACCCACGCCCAAAACCGUGGGUUAUAGCACACCGAUUUGGCAGGAAAAUAAAUCGUUCGCAUCAUUUCGCCUGUUUGUCAACCCAAAUGACCACAAAAAUUUAAACGGACCACACUGGAAUGAUCUCCAGUCUUCCUGGAAUACGUCGAUCAAUUUUUAGCCUACAGCACGCCCGAACCCUGGGCCCAUGCCCGAAAUAGUGAGCUAUAUUAUACUAAUUUUUCCCAAAAAUGCCCCGUUUGCUCUGUUUUGCCCGUUUAUCCACCAAAUGGCCACAAAAAUUUAAACAAACCACACUGGAUGAUCUCCUACCUCCCUGGAAUGUCUCGAUUAAUUUUUGGCCUACAAAACCCCCGGACCCUGGGCCCACACCCAAAACCGUGGGCUAUAGCAUGCCAAUUUUGCUCGAAAAUGCCCUGUUUGCGCUGUUUCACCCAUUUGUCCACCAAAAUGGCCAUGAAAAUUUAAACGGACCACACUGGGAUGAUCCUCAACCUCCCUAGCAUGCCCCAGUCGAUUUUUGGCCUCCAGCAUGCCCGAACCCCAGGCCCACACCCAAAAAUGUGGCCUAUGACACACCAAUUUGGCCCCAAAAUGCCCCAUUUGUGUCGUUUUGACCGUUUGUCCACCCAAACGGCCAUGAAAAUUUAAACACAAAAAUUUAAACGGACCACACUGGGAAAAUCUCCAACCUCCCUGACAUGCUCCGAUCGAUUAUUAGCCUAUAACACGCCCAAACCCUGGGCCUACCCCUGAAACCAUGGGCAAUAGAUCACAGAUUUAGCCCGAGAAUGCCCGAUUUAUGCCGUUUCACCUAUUUGUCCACCCAAAUGGCCAUGAAAAUUUAAACAUACAAUACUGGGACAAUCCCAACCUUCUGGUGUGUCCCAUUCAAUUUUCAGCCUAAAGCCCGCCAGCACCUCAGGCCCACCCCCGAUACCGUAGGCUAUAAUACACCGAUUUGGUCGAAAAUACCCUGUUUACCUCGUUUCACCUGUUUGUCCAUCCAAAUGGUCACAAAAUUUAAACAAACCACACUGGGAUGAUUCCCAACAUCCCUGCCAUGCUUAGAUCAAUUUUUGGCCAACAGCACGCCCGAUCCCUGGGCCCACCCCCAAAACCGUGAGCUAUAGCACACCAAUUUGGCUAGAAAAUGCACCGUUCGUGAUGUUUCACCCGUUAGUCCACCCAAAUAGCCACAAAAAUUUAAGCGGACUAUGCUAUGACAAUCCCCAACCUCCCUAACAUACCCCGAUCGAUUUAUGCCCUCAACAUGUCUGGACCUCAGGCCCACCCUCAAAAAUGCGGCUAUAGCAUAUUAAUUUGGCCUGAAAAUGCCCUAUUCGUGACGUUUGUCCACCAAAAUGGCCACAAAAAAUUAAACUGACCACACUGGGAUGAUCCUCAACCUCGACGUGCCCAGAUCAAUUUUUGGCCUACAGCACACCCGAACCAUGGGCCCACCCUCAAAACUGUGGGCAAUAGCACACCGAUUCGGUAGAAAAUGAAUCGCUCACGUCGUUUCACCUAUUUGUCCAGAAAAAUGGCCACAAAAAAUUAAACGGACCACACUGGGACGACCCUAAACCUCCCAGGCAUGCCCCAAUUAAUUUUUGACCUAUAGCACAUCCGGACCCUGGGCCCACCCAUGAUAUCGUGGGCUAUAGCACAUCGAUUUUGCCCAGAAAUGCCUAGUUCACGCUGUUUUGCCCGUUUGUCUACCCAAAUGGCCACAAAAAUUUAAGCAGACCAUACUGGGAUGAUCCCCAACCUCCCUGGCACGCCCCGGUCAGUUUUUAACCCAUGAAACUCCCAGACCCCAGGCCCACCCCAAAGCCAUGGGCAAUAGCACACCGAUUUGGCUCGAAAUUGCCCCGUUUACGUCGUUUCGCUUGUUUGUCCACCCAAAUGACCAUAAAAAUUUAAACAAACCACACUGGGAUGAUCCCUAGACUCCUUGGCACCCCAAGGUCAAUAUUUAGGCCACAGCACGCCCGGACCCCAAGCCCACCCCCAAAACCACGGCCUAUAGAACACCGAUUUUGCCCAAAAAUGCCUCGUUUGCACCAUUUUGCCUGUUUGUACACCCAAAUAGCCACAAAAAUAUAAAUGGACCACAUUGGGAUGAUCAUAAACCUCCCUGGCAUGCCAUGAUCAAUUUUUGGCCCAUAGCAUGCUCGGACCCCGGGCCCAUCCCUAAAAUCGUGGGCUAUGACACACCGAUUUGGCCCAAAAAUGCCCCGUUUGCACCAUUUUGCCCGUUUGUCCACCUAAAUGGCCACGAAAAAUUUAUAAAGAUCACAUUGGGAUGAUUUUGUACCUCUCUGGUAUGCCCCGGUUGAUUUUUGCCUCACAGCAUGCCCAAACUCCGAGUCCACCCCCAAAAUCAUGGGCUAUAGCACACCGAUUUAGCCCACAAAUGCCUUAUUCAUGCCGUUUGAUCCAUUUAUCCACCCAAAUGGCCACAAAAAUUUAAACAGAUCACACUAGGAUAACUCCCAACCUCCCUGGUAUGCCCCGAUUAAUUUUUGGCCCACAACAUGCUCGGACCCUGUGCCAACCCUCAAAGUCGUAGUCUAUAGCACACCAAUUUGGCCCAAAAAUGCCCCAUUCACGCCGUUUGUCCACCCAAAUGGCUACAAAAAUUUAAACGGACCACACUAGGGAGAUAUCCAACCCCUUUAGCAUGCCUCAAUUGAUUUUUGACCUACAGCACGCUUGGAUCCUGAGCCCACCCGCAAAACUAUGGGUUAUAGCACAUCGAUUUUGCUCGAAAAUGAAUUGUUUGCGCCGUUUCACCUGUUUGUCCACCCAAAUGGCCACAAAAAUUUAAACGAACCAUACUGAGAUGAUCCCCAACCUCCCUGGCAUGCCGCGGUCAAUUUUUGGCCCAUAGCACGGCUGGUACCUGAGCCCACCCUUGAAAUCAUACGCAAUAGCUCAUCGAUUUAGCCCAAAAAUGCCUAGUUUACCCCGUUUUGCUUGUUUGUACACCCAAAUGGCCACAAAAAUUUAAGCGGACCAUACUGGGACGAUCCCUAACCUUUUUGGCAUGCCCCGAUCAAUUUUUUUGGCACACAGUACGCCCGAACCUCGGUACCACCCCCAAAAUCGUGGGCUUUAGCACACUAAUUUUUUUUAAAAAUGCCCCAUUCGUGCCGUUCUCCCGUUUGUCCACCCAAAUGGCCAGGAAAAUUUAAAUAGACCAAACUGGGACAAUUUAUUACCUCCCUGGUAUUCCCCGAUCAAUUUUUUGCCCAUAACACGCCCAAACUCCGGGUCCAUCCCCGAAACCAGCGGCUAUAGCACAUCGAUUUGGCCCAAAAAUGCCUAGUUUACGCCAUUUCGCCCAUUUGUCCACCCAGAUGGCCAUAAAAAUUUAAACGGAUCAUACUGGGAUGAUUCCUAACCUCCCUGGAAAGCCCUAGAUGAUUUUUAGCCCGCAGCACGCCUGAACCCUGUGUCCACCUCUAAAAUCGUGGGCUAUAGCACACUGAUUUACCCUAAAAAUGCCUCGUUCGUGCUGUUUCACCCAUUUAUUCACCCAAAUGGUCACAAAAAUUUAAACGGAACACACUGAGACCAUCUCUGACCUCACAACACACUUGGACCCUAGGCCCACUCACGAAACCAUGACUUAUAGAACACUAAUUAGGUCCAAAAAUGCCCCUUUCGUGCCGUUUUGCCCGUUUGUCCACCCAAAUGGCCAAGAAAAUUUAAACGGGAAACACUAGAAUGAUCUCCAACCUGCCUGAAACUCCUCGAUCAAUUUUUUUCUGGCAACAUGCCCAAACCCUGGGCCCACCCCCAAAACCAUGGGCUAUAGCACAUCGAUUUAGCCUAAAAACACCCGAUUCAUCUCGAUUCGCCCAUUUGUUCACCCAAAUAGCCACGACAAUUUAAGUGAACCAUACUAGGAUGAUCCCUAACCUCCCUAGAAUGUCUCGGUCAAUUUUUAGCCAACAGAACACCUGGACCCAGGCCCAUCCUUGAAACCGUUGGCUAUAGCACACUGAUUUGGCCUGAAAAUGUCCCGUUCACACCGUUUCACCCGUUUGUCCACCCAAAUAUCCACAAAAAUUUAAACAGACCACAUUGGGAUGAUCCCUAACCUCCCUGGCAUUCCUAAGUCUAUUUUCAACCCAUAGCACACCCGAAUACUGGGCCCACCCCCAAAAUCAUGGGCUAUAGCACACUGAUUUGGCUAAAAAAUAACCCAUUCGUGUCGUUUGUCCACCCAAAUGGCCAUGAAAAUUUAAACGGACCACACCGAAAUGAUCCCCAACCUCCUUGGCAUGCCCCAGUCAAUUUCUGGCCUACAGCAUGCCUGGACCCCGAUCCUUCCCCCAAAGUAGGUUAUAGCACACCGAAUUGGCCAAAAAAUGAAUCGUUCGUGCCGUUUCACCCGUUUGUCCACCCAAAUAGCCAUAAAAAUUUAAAUGGACCACAUUGGAAUGAUCCCCAACCACCCUGACAUGCCCCAAUUGAUUUUCAGACUGCAGGAUGCAUGGACCCCAGGUCCACCCUCAAAAUCGUGGGCUAUAGCACACUGAUUUGGCCCAAAAACACCCAAUUCACGCCGUUUCGCUCGUUUGUCCACCUAAAUAGCCACAAAAUUUAAAUAGACUACACUGGGACGAUUGCCAACCUCCCUAGCAUGCCCCGAUCAAUUUUUAGCUCACACCACACCUGGAACCCAGGCUCAUCACAAUAAUUGUAGGCUAUAUCCCACUUAUUUGGCCCAAAAAUGCCCCGUUUAUGCCAUUAUGCCUGUUUAUCCAACCAAAUGGCCAUAAAAAUUUAAACGGACUGCACUGGGAUAAUCCCCUACCUCCAUGGCAUGCCAUAAUCAUUUUUCAGCCCACAACACGCUGGACUCCAGGCCCAUCCUCGAAAACGUGGGCUAUAGCAUACCGAUUUGGCUCGAAAACUCCUCGUUCGCGCCGUUUCACCCGUUUGUCCACCCAAAUGGCCACAAAAAUUUUAACGAACCACACUGGGACUAUACCCAACCUCCCUGGCAUGCCCUAAUCAAUUUUGGGUCCAUAUCACACUAGGAACUCAGGCCCACUCCCGAUAACGUGGGCUAAAACACACCGAUCAGGCUCGAAAAAGACCUGUUCGUGUUGUUUCGCCUGUUUGUCUAGAUAAACAGCCACGAAAAUUUAAACAGACUACUAUGGGAUGAUCCUUAACCACCCUGGCAUGUGUCGUUCAAUUUUUGGCCCACAGAACGCUCAAACCCUGGGCCCACACAUGAAACCGUUUUCUAUAGUACACCGAUUUGGCACAAAACGUUCACAUCGUUACGCUUGUUUGUCAACCCAAAUGGUCAUAAUAAUUUAAACAGACCACACUUUGACUAUCCCUAACCUCCCUGGCAUACCCCGAUCAAUUUUUGGCCUACAACAUGCUUGAACCCUGGGCCUACCCCAAAACCUUGAGCUAUAGCACACUGAUUUGGCUCGAAAAUACCCCAUUUGCGUCGUUUUACCCCUUUGUCCACCCAAAUAGUUUCAAAAAUUUGAACGGACCACACUGGAAUGAUCCCUAACCUUCCUGGUAUGCCCUGAUAUAUUUUAAGCCUACAGCACACCCGGAGCCUGGGUCCAACCCCGAAACGGUGGGCUAUAGCACACUGGUUUGGCCCGAAAAUACCUUGUUCGCACUGUUUCAGCCAUUUGUCUACCCAAAUGCUCCAUUCAUACCAUUUCACCCGUUUAACCACCCAAAUGGCCAUGCAAAUUUAAACGGACCACACUGAGAUGAUCCUUAACCCCCCUUGCAUGCCCCGGUCAAUUUUUGGCACACAGUAUACCCGGACCCCAAACCCACUCCCAAAAUCGUGGGCUAUAGCACACCAAUUUGGCUCGAAAAUAUCCCGUUCGGCUAUUUCAUCCGUUUGUCUACCUAACUGGAUACAAAAAUUUAAACUGACCAUACUGGAACAAUCCCCACCCUCCCUGGUAUGACCGAUCAAUUUUUGGCCAAUAAUACGCCCAAACCCCGGGCCCACCCCCAAAACCGUGGGCUAUAGCACAAUGAUUUAUCCCUAAAAUGCCCCGUUCACAGCGUUUUGCCUGUUUGUCCAAUCAAAUGGCCACGAAAAUUUAAACGGACUUCACUGGGACAAUCCCAAACCACCCUGGCAUGCCCCGACAGAUUUUUGGCCCGCAAAAUGCUAUGUUCACAUCGUUUCACCCUUUUGUCCACCCAAAUAGGCAUAAAAAUUUAAACAGACCAUACUAGGAUGAUCCCAACUCUCCCUGGCAUGCCUCGAUCGAUUUGCAGCCCAUAGCACGCUCGAUCCCCGCAUCCACCCCAAAAUCGUAGGCUAUAGCACACCGAUUUGGCUCGAAAAUUCCUUGUUUAUGCUAUUUUUCCCGUUUGUCCAUCCAAAUAGAAAUGAAAAUUUAAACAGACCAUACUGCAAAAAUCCUAACUUUCCUGGCACGCAUUGGUUGAUUUUCGACCCAUAGCUUUCCCGGACCCCAGGCCCACCCCUUAAACCGUGAGUUAUAGCGCACUAGUUUUGCUUGAAAAUGCCCCGUUCACAUCGUUUCACCCGUUUAUCCAUCCAAAUGGCCACAAAAAUUUAAACAAACUACACUAGGAUGAUCCCCAACUUCCCUAGUAUGCCUCGGUUGAUUUUUGGCCCACAGCACGCCCGGACCCCUGGCCUACCUCUAAAAACGUGGGCUAUAGCACACUGAUUUAGCCUAAAAAUGCCUCGUUUGUGCCGUUUUACUCAUUUGUCCACCCAAAUAGCAACAAAAAUUUAUACCGGCCAUACUGGGACAAUCCUAAACCUCCCUGGCAUACCCUAGUUGAUUUUUGACCCACAAAACACCUGGAUCCCUGGCCUACCCCCAAAACCGUGGGCUAUGGCACAUCAAUUUAGCCCAAAAAUGCUCCGUUAGCGUUGUUUCACCCGUUUGUCCAUCCAAAUAGACACAAAAAUUUAAAUGUACCACACUGAAAUGAUCCCUAACCUCCCUGGCUUGCUUUGAUUGAUUUUUGGCCCAUAGACCACCCGGACCCCGGUCUCACCCCCAAAACCGUGGGCUAUAGCACACCGCUUUAGCCCAAAAAUGCCCUGUUCGCACCGUUUCACCCAUUUGUUUUACCAAAUUGCCGUAAAAAUUUAAACGGACCAAAUUGAGACAAUCCCCAACCUCCCUAGCAUGCUCUGGUUGAUUUUGGCCCAUAGCACAUUCGGACCCCAGGUCCACCCUCAAAACCAUGGGCUAUAGCACGGAGAUUUGGCCUGAAAAUGCCCCGUUCGUAUCGUUUCUCCCAUUUGUCCACCUAAAUGGCCACAAAAAUAGAAACGGACUACAUUGGGAUGAUCCCCAAUCUUUCUGGUAUGCUCCAAUCAUUUUUCGACCCACAGUACGCCUGGAACCUGGGCCCACCCCCAAAAUCAUAGGCUAUAGUACAUCGAUUUUUUUGAAAAAGGCCGUUCAUGCCGUUUCAUCCGUUUGUCCUCUCAAAUGGCUACAAAAAUUUAAACGGACCAUACUGGGAUGAUACCCAACCUCCCUGGCAUACCUUGGUCAAUUUUUCGCCCACAACACACCCAGAACAUGGGCUCACCCCUAAAACCGUAGGCCAUAGCAUACUGAUUUGGCCGAAAAAUGCCCUGUUCAUGCCGUUUUGCCCGUUUGUCCACCUAAAUAGCCACAAAAAAUUAAAAGGACCAUACUGGGUUGAUUCCAAACCUUCCAGGCAUGCCUCGGUCGAUUUUUAGCUCACAGCAUGCUCGGACCCUGGGCUCACCCUGAAACCAUGGGCUAUAUAGCAUACCGAUUUAGCCUAAAAAUGCCACGUUCAUGCCAUUUCGCCCGUUUGUCCACCCAAAUGACCACAAAAAUUUAAAAGGACCAUACUAGGAUGAUCCCCAACCUCCAUAAGAAAUCCCAAUCAAUUUUUGAUGCACAGCAUGCCCGAACCCCACACCCACCCCUAAAACCAUUUGCUUUAGAACUCAGAUUUGGCCCGAAGACACCCGAUUCACUAUGUUUCGCCCAUUUGUCCACCCAAAUGGCCACCAAAAUAUAAAAGAACUAUACUGGGAUAAUACAGAGCUCCUUGGUAUGCCCCGGUCAAUUUUCGGUCCAUAAUACACCUGGACCCCUGGCCCACCCCUAAAAUCUAGGGCUAUAGCACAUCGAUUUAGCCUGAAAAUGCCCCAUUCGGUUGUUUUGUCCAUUUGUCCACCUAAACGGCCACAAAAAUUUAAAUGGACCACACUGGGAUGAUCCCCAACCUCUCUGGUACACCCCGUUCAAUUUUAAGGCCACAACACACCCGGACCCCGAGCUCACCCCCAAAACCAGGGGCUAUAGAACACUUAUUUUGCCGAAAUAUGCCCUGUUUAUGCUGUUUUACCUGUUUGUCCACUCAAAUGGCCAUAAAAAUUUAAACGGACAACACUGGUAUGAUCCCCAACCUCCCUGGCAUACUUCAGAAAAUUUUUGGCACAUGAAACGCUCGUACCUAGGGUCUACCCCCAAAACCGGCGGCUAUAGCACAUCGAUUUGGCCUGAAAAUGCUAGUUCGCUCUAUUUUUCUCGUUUGUCCCCCCAAAUAGCCACAAAAAAUUAAACAGACCACACUAGGAUGAUACAAAACCUCCAUAGCAUGUCCCGAUCGAUUUUUGCCCCAUAACACGCUCGAAACCCAGGCCCACUACCACAACCGUGGGUUAUAACACAUAGAUUUGGCCCGAAAAUGCCCUGUUCAUCCUGUUCCGCCUAUUAUCCACUUAAAUGGCCACAAAAAUUUAAAUGAACCAUACUGGGACGAUCCUCAACUUCACUGGUUUGAUUUUAGACCCACAGAAUGCCAUAACCCCAGGCCCACCCUAAAACCAUUGGCUAUAGCACAAUGAUUUUGCCCAAAAAUGUCCUGUUCUUGCCGUUUCGCCCGUUUGUCCACCCAAAUGGCCACAAAAAUAUUAAUGAACUACACUGGGACGAUCAACCUUCCUGACAUGCCUCGAUCGAUUUUCGGCCCAUAACAUGUUCGGACCCCAGGCCCACCCCCAAAAUUGUUUGCUAUAGCCGUAGUUUCACCCGUUUGUCCACCCAAAUAGCCACAAAAAUUCAAACGAACCACACUGGGAUGAUCAUUAACCUACCUGGCAUGCCCCAAUCAAUUUUUUACAUGCAACACACUUGGACCCCGGGCCGUACCCAAAAUCGUGCGCUAUAGCACAUCGAUUAUGCCCAAAAAUGCCUCGUUCGUGUUGUUUUGCCAGUUUUUUCCACCCAAAUGGCCGCAUAAAUUUAAACGGAUCAUACUGGGAUGAUCCACAACCUCCUUGGAACACCCCAAAUAACUUACGUCCAACAAAACACCUAGAUCCCAUGCCUAACUCAAAUUCCCUGUUCUCGUUGUUUCGCCCAUUUGUACACCCAAAUGGUCAUAAAAAUUUAAACGGAACAUAGUGGGAUGAUCCCCAACAUCCAUGGUAUGCCCUGGUUGAUUUUAGGCCUAUAUUAUGUGCUAACCCCAGGACAACCCCAAAACCAUAGGCUAUAGCCCACCGAUUUGACUCGAAAAUGCCUGAUUCACACUAUUUCGCCUGCUUUGCAUCCAAAUGGCCACAAAAAUUUAAGUGGACUACACUGGGAUGAUCCCAACCUCCUUGGCAUGCCCCAUUUGAUUUUAGGCCCACAAAAUGCUCGGAACCCGGUCCCACCAUCGAUAGCGUGGUCUAUAACAUGCUAAUUUGGCCCAAAAAUGCCCCGUUCGCAUAUUUUCACCUAUUUGUCUACCUAAAUGGACACUAAAAUUUAAACGGUCCAUACUAGGAUGAUCCCCAACCUCCCUGGCAUGCCCAGAUUGAUUUUUGGCCCAAUGCAUACCCGGUCCCUGGGACCACCCCCAAAAUCCUGGGCUAUAGCAUACCAAUUUGGCCAAAAAAUGCACCGUUCGCACCAUUUCACCCGUUUGUCCACUCAAUAGUCCACAAAAUUUAAGCAAACCACAUUGGGGCAAUCCCCAACCUUCCUAGCACACCUCAUUUGAUUUUGGCCUAUUACACGCUCGGACCCCGGGCCCAUCCUCAAAAUCGUGGGCUACAACACAUCGAUUUGUCCUGAAAAUGCCUCGUUCAUGUCGUUUCGCACGUUUGUCCAGCCAAAUAGCCAUGAAAAUUUUAGCGGACUACACUGGGAUGAUCCCCAUCCUCCCUGGUAUGCCUCGGUCUAUUUUCAACAUACAACACUCUCGGACCCUAGGCUCACCCCUAAAACCACAGGCUAUAGCACACCGAUUUAGCUUGAAAAUGCCCCAUUCACACUAUUUCGCUAGUUUAUCCACCCAAAUGGCCACAAUAGUUUAAAUGGACCAUAAUGGGAUGAUCCCCAACCUCUCUCGUACAGCCUGAUUUAUUUUCCACCAAUAGAACGCUCGAACUGCGGGGCCACCUCCAAAACUGUGGGCAAUAGCACACUGAUUUAGCUUGAAAAUGAAUUGUUCGUGCUGUUUCACCCGUUUGUCCAUCCAAAUGGCCACAGAAAUUUAAACAGAACACAUUGGGAUGAUCCCAACAUCCUUGGCAUGCCCUGAUCAAUUUUUGGCCAACAGUACACCCGAACCCUGGGCCCACCCACAAAAUCGCGGGCGAAAGCACACCAAUUUGGCCCAAAAAUGCCUAGUUCACGUCGUUUUGCCCGUUUGUCACCCAAAUGGCCACGAAGAUCCCCAACCUCCCUGGCAUGCGCAGGUUAAUUUUUGGCCCACAGUAUGCCCAGACUCCGGGCCCACUGCUAAAAUAGUGGACUAUAGCACACCGAUUUGGCCCUAAAAAUGGCCCGUUCGCGCCGUUUUGCUCGUUUGCCCUCCUAAAUGGCCACAAAAGUUUAAAUGAACCACACAUGGAUGAUCGUCAACCUCCUUGGCAUGCCUCGAUCGAUUUUAGGCCUACAGCACGCUCGAAACCUAGGACUAUCCCCAAAAUCAUGGGCUAUAGCAUACCAAUUUUGCCUGAAAAUGCCUCAUUCGCACCAUUUCGCCUGUUUGUCCAACCAAAUGGCCAGGAAAAUUUAAACGGACCAUACUGGAAUAAUCCCCAACUUCCCUAGAAUGCCUCGAUCGAUUUAUAGCUCAUAACAUGCAUGAACCCCAGGCUCACUCCCAAAAUCGUUUGAUAUAGCUCACCGAUUUUCCCACAAAAUACCCCGUUUGCAUUAUUUUGCCCAUUUGUCCACCCAAAUGGCCACAAAAAUUUAAUCAAACCAUACUAGGACGAUCCCUUACCUCCAUGGCAUUCAUCGGUCAAUUUUUGGCUCAUAGCACGCCCAAAACCCAAGCCCACCUUCGAAACCGUGGGCUAUAGCAUAUCGAUUUAGUCUAAAAAUGGCCCCUUCGUGCCGUUUCGUCCAUUUGUCUACCCAAAUGGACACAAGAAUUUAAACGGACCACAUUUAAUUGAUCAUAACGAUAUCGUGGAAAUGCUGCACGGACCCAUAUAUAUGGGAACAGAAAAAGAAUCACCUUGAUACUAAACCAGAUCGAGCCUGGGAUCUUCUUGGAAAUGGGAAGAUCUAGGAUAGGUGGCCAACCUCCUGGAGAGAGCGAUGUGCAUAGACCAGGUGAGUAGGGAUGCAGCUCCGUGGAUCGCUCGUUGGGCCUGAUAGGUGGUGGUAUCACACCCUUCUCAAAGGAACCGUAUGUGACACUCUCGCGUCAUACGGCUCCGUCCCAGAAGCAGGACCUUCCCUUUCCUUUGAACAACGGGCCCUCAAACCUUUAUGAUUUCGUGUCGAACCUGGUCUCCAUCUUCGAACUUCUCGUUCAAUGAGACCCCAGGUCUCACUGUUUCCGUUUUCUAGGUCACGCCUUAACCUCGUUAGAAAGCGGAGUUGGCUAGCUGCCGGCAUAUCUUUUACGUCACCGGCCACAUAGUCUGCAGCGUCUUUCACUGCAUCGCAUUUGUCGGGGCUGAAUCCCCUUUCUUGAGCGAUCGCCUUCGCUCGUUGGCAGAACGCCUUGAUGCGUGCGUCUAGUUUGUUGGGGUGACACUCCGCUUCUUUAUACUCUUAGGAGGCGAGAAACUCCCGUUCCCUUCUCCUUCCUUACUCUUCCGAGGAUGGUUCAGGGGGAGCCGAUUCCGCCUCCGGCUGAGGAGGGAAAUUUCCAUCAAUAGGCGGUAGCUUCGACGAGCUGGGACGUGGAAGUGAAAACCCUAAACUUGAAACCCUACCCUUCUCUGCUACUCACUAUCUAAGGAGCAAAUCCGAAGUCGGUUCUCAAGGCAUAGAAGCUCGGGGAUUGAAUACCCCUAUGUUCCAAGUGACUGGCUUGGCUGGUGAUGCGUUCACCCACUUGCACGCUUCCUUGCAAGCACGAAAUCCUUAGUUCGCCCGCUACCACACGGGCCGGUGUACUCUUAUCGCUAACCCCGAGAGAGGCUAUACUCUAAGAGCCAACCGACUCAUUAUCCCUGGACGCAAGGAUUAAGAAAUAGCAAUGUAUCAGGGGCUGAGCGUACCUUCCGCUCAGGAACAAGAAAUGGAGCUAUUAAUUGUUGGUGCCGCUUUAUUUUUUCUAGCUCUUCUUU